ACAAGAGCACAAUUGCUACACAAAGAGCUCCUCAUUUGAAAACUAGCAAAUUGCAAAGAUAAAGAAGCUAUAUAUAUCUCGAGUUUACAAAUCAAUCCAGACUGAAUUUACUAUGUUGACGCAGUUUGUAUAGUAAACUUGACAAGAUAAAGUUUUGAAGGUGUCUUACUUAAACAAGCAGGAGAUACGUCAGGAGAGGAAGAAAAGAAAACAUUUGAGUUGUAGAAGAUUUCCACACGAAGAUGUAUGUAAAACCAGAAGAAGUGUCAAGGUUCAUGCUGACAUUGCAUCCUGCUGUUCCAAAUCCAAUCUCCUGCUUUUCCAAAUCAAACUCCACUGCCACAUCCAGCUGCUGGUAGGUUCCUAUAACAUUCAGUGAGAACCCCACCUUUUGCGAGUCUCCAACAGCCAAGCAUACAGUAGCAUUUUCAGCAUCAUCAUCUAGCAGAAACCAUGUCCGAAAUUCAACCUGUGUGCCAUUCUCAAAGUGAUAAGUCAGAGUUUGUGGUGGUGGUGUGUCACCAUUUACAGAAACAUUGUAGCAAAUAUCAUUGCCAAGCAGUGCUGCAGUUUUGUUGCUCGAUACUUUAGUAAGGUUGGAGUUGAGGUUUUGUAUGGCUUGCACAAGAGGGGUGUAGGAAUCUGGUGUGAAAUAGCUGAAUGCAAACGUUGAAUCAAUGAUCGUUCCUCCAGUUCCAUCGGCAAGAAUGCCUUGCACCAGAAAAGUCAACAUGUCGUUGAUACUUAUGGAUCUCAAGCCGAUGUAAUACAACGCAGUGGAAAUUGGAUUUACGAUCAUUGGAGUGUAAGAAAGAGAGGAGUUCGAUGAUAUCUUAUAAUUUCCGAACACGAUUUUGCCACUAAACGUAUCAGAUGGAGCACAAUAGAUAAACUUGCCUGUAUAGUCCAUUUCAGCAAGUUGUCCGAUGAAUGACUUGUUUGUCUUUGCAAAUCCCACCAGGCCUGAUGUACUGAGAAUUCCCAGCAAUCUCGUGCUUUGUCGACCACAUCCAAGUGACAUUCUAAGGCUUUUAUUGCCUCUAGUUUUACGUGGAGCUUUCAUGGUUACAACAUCACUAGCCAUCUCACCAGCUGAGGAGUACCUGGGGCUGUAAGAAGCAUUAUAUAAGCAAGUCGUGGAACCCACUGCUGAAGAUCCACAAGAGUUUGUGGAGAAACCAGGGGAUGUCGAGCAGAAAGGAGAGGUGCAAGGAAUUCUACUUUAAGAUGUGGAUGAUGCCGAUGAAAAGAGGGGUUCGUUUGUGGAAACAUUGCAAUCGAUGCAAGGAGAGCAAGCAGCCCAGAAGAAUUCCGAGUUAAGUGCCAUGGUGAAGUUGUGCUGCAUAGGAGGAGUUCCCAAAUUGACAUUCAUGGCGAAGUUGAGGCCGUUAUCUGGAGUUCGUCUUCGCUUCCAGGCGGCAACUCCCAUCUCGAAUCCCUCUUCUAUCGCAACUUUCAAGACCGUUCUUGCAAUAACAUUGGCCAACCCUAAAGGAGCAGCCUCGACGUGAGGACGACUAAAUUCCCAAAUGCACACAAGAGCCAGUAGGAAACAAAGCACAGACCGACACCUCUCCAUGGAGGAUUGAGAAACUCUUGGAAGAUUGGAAAAACUAGAUUGAGAAACUCUUGAGGCAAGAUUGAGGCAAUAUAUAUUUGAUGACAUAUCUGACUCUUUCAAUCAAUAUAUGUAACAACAGUUUUCAUAAACAUCAUCCUUUUUGUAAAAGAUAAGACCGAUUGAUCUGGACACUUUAAAAUAUUUCAGUUUACCUUUUACCAAUAUAAAAACGGGCAAAACAAAUGGCUGGAUUGAGACAAACGUUAUGACAAGAUAAAGUUUUGAAGGUGUCUUAAACAAGCAGGAGAUACGUCAGGAGAGGAAGAAAAGAAAACAAUUGAGUUGUAGAAGAUUUCCACACAAAGAUGUAUGUCCAAGCACACAGUCGCAUUUUCAGCAUAUUCAUCUAGCAGAAAACAUGUCUGAAAUUCAACCUGUAUCCCAUCGUCUAAGUGAUAAGUUGGAGUUUGUGGUGGUGGUGUGUCACCAUUUACAGAAACAUUGUAGCAAAUCAUUGCCGAGCAGUGCUGCAGUUCCUUUGCUCGAUACUUGAGUGACGUUCCCGGUUUGAGAUCCAUAAGUAUCACGUUGAAUUUUCCAGUGCAAGGCAUUCUUGCAGAUGGAACUGGAGGAAUGAUCAUUGAUUCAACGUUUGCAUUCAGCUAUUUCACACCAGAUUCCUACACCCCUCUUGUGCAAGCCAUGCAAAACCUCAACUCUAAUUUGGAUUUACUAAUGGCUCGACUAAUUGGCUUAUCCUUUUAGUGUGGCUCGUCCAGAAUGGUACAGGUAAGCCUUCAUUGAUUUUCGCCCAACCAAUCGUCCACCCCAAGAUGGGGACGGACGAGCCCAGUUAUGGGAAGUAGUUUGGAUAUGAAAAGCAAGUUAAUCUAUUUUGAUGCGUUUAGUGGCAAAAUCGUGCUUGGGAACUAUAAGAAAUCAGGGAUUUUGAGAGGCUCUAUGAUGUGUUUCAGGACAGAGAGAUUGAAGAACACAAAAGAGCUGCGUCGUUUUCUCUCUGCAAAGGUAUAUUGAUGCUGCUGCUGAAGUAUCACAAUUAUCGAUUGGCUCCAAGUAUGUAUGUUAUUAUGCUUUCCUGAUUAUGAUUAUUGGACAGUUUUCGUGAGGGAAACAAUGCCAGAAUCAAUUUAGAGUGAGUAGUGUUACAGCAUAAACAAUCAGAGUGUUUACUUUUUAGCUUCUCCAAUGCUUGUUUUACAUCUUCAAUGCUCGCAAUUUUCUUAAACAAAUUGUUUAUCGAUCUUCAAUUCAUAAUACUUAUGCCCUUUCCUGUUUUUGAAUGUACAAAUAACAAUUCCAUUGUUGAGCUGCAAGCAAAAGGAUUUUGGCAUGUGUUUGAGGUUCUACCUUAAUCUUGAGAAAUCUUUCAGAACUUUUUUCCCUCCAGCUUCUUUGGUUGAGCAUGAAUUUCUGUGGAGAUGAUGGGCAAAGAGAUUCCCAGCUGAGUCAAGCUUGUCCAAAAUCUUGUCUGCAUAUGGCUUCAUUACUCAAUUAAAAACCACAAUCUCAUAUAUCUUGCUCAUCUUUUUUAAAAAACUAUUCAUGCUCAACCUCUUUGCCACAAAGUAACACUUCAGUAGAAUAGUUUUCCCACUGAAGAGCUUAAGGGAUGCUAUGGCCUUGUGGGCAUGGAUUAAUGUUUAACACAAGAUGGGGUUUAUUCUCUAAAGGUGGUGGUAGCAAUAAAAAAUCAUCUUCUCUUUGGUGGUGAUGUUGAGUGUUGCAAAACUCCACUCCUAUGGCCUCUUCAUAGUUAUGAAGAAAGAUAGAAAGAAUGUGAGAUUGCAAUAAAUCUUUAUAAAUCAAGUUAAUACACUUCCAUAAUUCUGGCCGAGCAGCAUGUAGAAAUUCAACCCCAACACCAAGAGUCUCUAGGCAAAUUGAGCUCCACGCUCAGGCCUUGUGGAUCUUUUGGAUCUUCUAGCAAGCAGCUAGUAGCGAGACCCAAGCAACACUCUGGGGCUUGAAAGGCAUGCUGUGGAUGAGCUCUUUGGCCUUGUCUAGCUCUUUGGCCCUUGGAAACAUGUCAACAAACCCACAAUAGUGUUCUCCUAUGGCUUGACUCCAUAGUCUUGAAUCAUUAACUAAAAGUAGUCUUGAGAAAUCUUCACCACCUAAGUGGCAACAUGCCACAAACAUGCUCAUAAAGACAAUGUGAUUGGGCAUCAUGCUCUCCUGGAUGGUCCUAUGGAAGGUUUCCAAGGCCUCGGUUACAUGCCGGUGGAAGCAUCCAUGGCCACCACUGCAGUCCAUGAGACCCACUCUGGCAUUUUCUCAAACCAAACUCAAGCUUCCAAAAGGAGUCCCUUGUGAACAAAACCCACCACCAUUGCCAUCCAGGCAAUCACAUCACACUCCUCCAUCGCUUGGAAGGGGCUCAUCACUUCCUGGAAGUGCGUUCCAGAGAUAGGCCGAGAGGAGUGCUGUGCUUGCUGUCUUGCUAUUGUAAGGCAUUCGAUCUAAAAUAAACUUUGCAUUUUCAAGAUGGUUUCUAGAGGUAAGCAUAUGCAUCAUUGUCGUCCAAGAGAUCUCAUCACGGUGAGCCAUCUUUUGGAAAGAAUCUAAUGCCUCGUCCAAAUGCCCAUUCGCGGCAUAUCUGCAAACCAUGGAGUUCCAAGCCACGUCUUUGUUUGGCAGCCUAUCAGACAAAGCUUUAGCCUCCUCCAUAGAGCCGUUAGAUGCGUAGCCGUCAAUCAUAGCCGUAAAUGUCACCUCAUUAAGAUCUGGGGCAUCUUCAAAGAGAAUCUUUGCUUGCUCCAUAUGCCCUGCCUGGGCAUAUGCUGUGAUCAUGGUCCUCCAUGUUACUACAUUCCUUGUGGGCAUUCUAUCAAAGAGAUCUUUAGCUUCAUCCAGCCCCGGGUUGUGGCAUGGCCUUGUACCAUGGCCGCCCACGCCACCACGUCCUUUUGGGGCAGAGUUCACGUGCGCAUGAGAGAUGCCCGUUAUGGGCAUAUGCCACGAUCAUGGAGGUGCUAGAAACGAGGGUUUCCUCCGGCAUGGAGUGGAAUACCGCCUCCGCCUCGCCGAGAUUGCCACUCUGCGAGUACAUCUCGAUCAUCGUGUUCCAGGUGAUGGAAUUCUUUGGCAGGGAUGCGAUCGAAGAGCUGCUUGGCGCGCUGCACGUCCCCGGCCGCGAGAUCAUGGUGUUGCUGGACACAAUCUCCUGCGGCGGCAUGCUUCCCAGGACCGAUCGCGCCUGCUCCAGGUCGUGGUUGGGAAUGUAGGCCUGGAGGGUGAGAUUCCAAGAGAAGAGAUUGCGAUCCGAGGUAGAAUCGGCUUCCUCCAGGCAGCCGCAGCGGCCAUACAUCUGGACGAGGAGAUUUCGCAGGAAGACGCUGUUAUUGUGGUCGCUGUGAAGGAUCUGGGCGUGGAUCCGGCGGCCAUCGCUGGGAUUGUCGCAAGAUCUGACGAGGGCGACAAGCUCUUGGACGCCAAGAACGCGCAUCGCAUCAUGGCCGUUGGAUGAUGGGGACGUCCGAGGUUCAAGUCCUGGCAGGUUCUAGCUUCCAGCCACGAAGUUUUCAUGGCACGCGGCGAGAACUCAUCCCCCAUCGUGCAGCCGCACUCCAAAUGCCAGAGGCAAUCGCAAUCGGGCGCGCUCGUCAACGACACAAUUAAUUUCCAUCUUUUCUUGUGGCUUGGAUGGAUUUCUCUUGCUGCGAGUUCAGCAAGUUGUCCGAUGAAUGACUUGUUUGUCUUUGCAAAUCCCACCAGGCCUGAUGUAUUGAGAAUUCAAAGAAGCUAUAUAUCUCGAGUUUACAAAUCAAUCCAGACUGAAUUUUCUAUGUUGACGCGGUUUGUAUAGUAAACUUGACAAGACAAAGUUUUGAAGGUGACGUGAGGAGAGGAAGAAAAGAAAACACUUGAGUUGUAGAAGAUUUCCACACGAAGACGUAUGUAAAACCAGAAGAAGUGUCAAGGUUCAUACAUCCUGCCGUUCCAAAUCCAAUCUCCUGCUUUUCCAGAUCAAACUCCACUGCCACAUCCAGCUGCUGGUAGGUUCCUAUAACAUUCAGUGAGAACCCCACCUUCUGUGAGUCUUCAAACAGCCAAGCACACAGUAGCAUUUUAAGCAUCACCAUCUAGCGGAAACCAUGUCCGAAAUUCAACCUGUGUGCCAUUCUCAAAGUGAUAAGUCAGAGUUUGUGGUGGUGGUGUGUCACCAUUUACAGAAACAUUGUAGCAAAUAUCAUUGCCAAGCAGUGCUGCAGUUUCGUUGCUCGAUACUUUAGUAAGGUUGGAGUUGAGGUUUUGUAUGGCUUGCACAAGAGGGGUGUAGGAAUCUGGUGUGAAAUAGCUGAAUGCAAACGUGGAAUCAAUGAUCGUUCCUCCAGUUCCAUCUGCAAGAAUGCCUUGCACCGGAAAAGUCAACGUAUCGGUGAUACUUAUGGAUCUCAAGCCGAUGUAAUACAAGGCAGUGGAAUUUAGUGUAAGAGAGAGAGAGGAGUGCGAUGAUAUCCUAUAGUUGCCGAGAAUGAUGCUCGAGAACUACAAGCAUUGCUUGGCUUUCCACUCCACCUACCAUAGCAAGAUUAGAUGGUGAAUGUCACAAGGCUGGCAGUGGCACACCAAUUCUGGCGGAUUCCACACCAAUUCUGGCGCAUUCGAGAUCAUUGUCUGCUGUCCACUCACGUUUGGCGCGAAACAAUGUUGCCAAGCAAGGAACAAAGAUACUUAAAUUACUGCCAUAUGUCAAUCUAGAGUUUCAUUUAGAGCUACUGGUUUACUAUAAAAGCUGAUCAAGUUCAGAGUUGAGAAUAAGAUGGUCUCAUUAAUCACCAUAUUCCUGUUAAUUUCUUUUAUACCAAGCAUAAUUGGGGUAAUUUAAAAUGCAAUUAAUGCUUUUCUAGUUUUCUAAUUUUUUUAUGCAGUGUUUAUAUGGUAUAAAUAUUAAAACAGCAUGUGUAGACAAUGCUGGAACUGAUGCAAAUAUAAAAAUACAAUUUCUUACUUUCUUUGGAAAAUUUCUUGAAUUUAAAAAUCUUGAUAACAAAAACAGAGAUGAUUUUGAAAGAUGUACACUUUCAACAUUUUCAGAUUUAGAAGCAACAUGUUUGGAAGAAUUUGAUGUAAUUUGUGAAAUGAUUUUAUCACAUGAUAAUUCUGGUGGUAAACCUGGAUGGUAUCCAGAAUGGGUUGAAAUUAUCCCACCUUUAUCAAAUGAUCCUGAUAAAUAUGUCACAUCUAGAAAAUUUAAUGUUAAUGCAUGGCUUGAAGGUGGUAGUCUUUCAUUUACAGCAAAAAUAUGCUAAAGUGAUUAAAAAAAGAGUGUAAAACUUAAUCAUUAAAUUACACAAUAAUAAACAUAUAUUUAAAUGAAUACAGAGUUAAUAAAAUAUUAAAUAUUAACUUGUUAACUUAUUAUUAAAUACUUGAUUUUUUAAAAAAUAAUAAAAUUUAUUUAUAUGAAUAUAAAUUAAUAAAUUUAAAAUAAAUACUAGGAGGGUGAGAAAGAUAAUAAAUCUAAGUGAUAAGAUGUUUUCUAUUAUGUAUCUGCUUUGGCAAAGUUACAAUUUUAAUUGCAUCAAAUUUGCUACUAUUUAUAUUCAAGGAACACAUAAUCAUACAUAUGUUAUAUUAGCUGGUGAAGGAAAACUAACAUUAUAAUAAGUAUAGUAGGGGGAGGACUGCAGUGGAGCCAGUUUAGCCAGGAAAGGCCAGUUUGGCCCAGGAAGGAUAAAAGAAGUAUUUAGUGGUUUCUUUUUAUUUUGCUUCAUGUUAUAUAUAUUAGAUAAAAAUUAAAGAUGAGAUAUUAUAGACUAAAUAUAAGGUGAACCAUUUUUUUGUUGAAAUUUUUUCAAGUCUCUAAUGUAAGCAUUGAUAGCUAUAUAGUUUUUUGAAUAAAAAUAAAGCAUCUCCUAAAGUAAUUGCUUAAAAUGUAUUUCAUGAUAUUUAUCCUCUUUGAUGGGGAAUAAUUGUUGAUAGUAAAUUGAUGCAAAUUAUUAGUUAUGCAUAGCAAUGGAUGGUUUAGAGUAUUCAUCAUAUAAAGCUUAUACUUUUGAGAGAAAGCAAUGAGUAGUAUCUCAAAAAAAUAAUCAAUGAUUAGGUUGUUAUAAACUUUUAAAUUUAGAUUUCUCAGGAGGUCACUUAAUUGGGUACUAUUUAAACCCAAAGACACUUAAUCUCAAAUAUCCCAAAACCCUUAACCAAUUGGAAAAUGAGGUGUAUUUUUAUUCAUGGGCAUUUUUCCCUCUAUAUUUGAACCUUAUGGAUUGUCUCUCAAAUCAUUCUCUUUGGUUGCUUACAAUUGUUUAUACAUUCUAUAUAUUUUAUAGAGUAAUUUUUAAUUUUUUUAAAAUUAUAAUAUCAAUUAAAUAAUGUCAAUCCAAGUGCUUUUAUUUUGCAUAGCCUUGUUAUAGGUUAAAUUUUUUUUUAUUAUAUGUAUGAUUAUAAAGGCAAAUGUUUUUAUAUGAUUGUUUGUUAUAUUUUACAUUAGUUUGGUUUUUAUUACUAUUUUUAAGAGGGUCAUAGUUCAAAAUAGCUUCAACAUAAGCUACAUCAAUUUACAUUAUAAUGCCUUAUCGUUUUAUAAAUGCCAUUCCUUUAGAUUUAUCUUCUGAUGUAAGUCUAUGAGUUUUUUUUAUAAAUGUUUGAGAUAUCCUUUAACCCAAUUUAAUUUAUUAGAUAUUUUUAUUUUACUUAAGUAGAUUUAUUGUGUUAUAAUAAUAAUUUUUUAGAACUCCAAAACUGUAAUAUAAAGGGGUGUGAGGUCCAAGUGUACAGGUACAAUGCUGUAUAUUAAUAUUAGUGUAGUGGGAUUUUGAUAGCCGUUAGAUUGGUUUCAAUCCAGACCACUUGCUCCUAUAUAUAAGCUAGGGUUUUUGGGCUAAUGGAUAUGCACAUUUUCUGUAUUCCUUUUCCAUAUUUCAUACACUCACAUUGGUGGAGGUAAGGGGCACUUUUGAUUGUACCUGAGGAGUGCUUGAAUUUGGGAUUUUGGUUUAAAUCUAGUUUUUACAUCGUUUAGAUCUAGCUUUUUCCAUUUCUUUUCUUUUGUUCUUUCUUUUCAGGAUUUUGGUAUAGAUAAAUCUCCCUUUUCUUUUAGCUUUUUUUUUUUUUUCAUUUCACUUCUUUUGCUCUUUCCUUUUCGUUAAUCUUGAUGGCAGAUCAACAAUCUCCUCUUUUGACUCUGGAGCAACAGUUGGUACAAUUGCUUGAUGCUAUGCAAUUGCAAUUGAACAACUAAACUCAGUUGAUGGUGGCAUUUAUGGCACAUAGUACAACUUCUCUUGUUCUUGGUGCCAAUCCUCGCGUUCAGCUGGAGUUCUUUCAUGGGAAUUCUGGGGAUGAUAUAUACUAUUGGUUCGAUCAUUUCACGGUGAUUGCCACAUAUAAUUCUUGGGAUGAUAUUUGAUGUUUGCAUGAGUUUCCCAUGUGUCUCUAAGGGAUGGCUUGAGCACAGCCACUUGUGGGGAUUGGAGUGUUCUUUUAGAUGUCUUCAAACACGUAUUCAAGUAUACCGACGAUUAAUGAAGCCUUCCAAUAGUUGCAUUGUCUUUGUCAAGGGCCAUCUGAGUUGGUGAUGCAAUUUGGCAUUCAUUUCCGAAGCCUUUUGAUUCAUGUGGAACCAAAUAUAUUGGGGCAGAUCAAGCUAGGAAUGUUGUGGCCAACACUUUUUCAAGAUCUUGUCAGACUUGUGUAUGCAUUUGCUUUUGCCACCUUUGAUGAUGCUCUUCAUUUGGCACAACGUUAUGAGAUGUCACCUCUUCCACUUCUCGCUGCACAUCCUUCAACACUACUUCAUGUGGGUGAUGGUUCUAUUCCAAUGGAGGUUGAUGUGUGAGGCACAAAAUCUCUAGGCCCCAAAGUGGAGCCAAAGGGUGCCACGUGGUAGUGGCCGAAGCAAAAGCCAAACAAGCAUAACAUGUUUGGAUUAAAAACUCCGACUUGAAAGGUUGAGAGUGAGGAUGGAACUCCCAACGAAGUGCUCGAGGGAUAAGCACAAAGCAAGCAAUAAGUGAGUCUCUAGAAAAGGGACACAAGAGGACCAACACAUGACACGUNNNNNNNNNNNNNNNNNNNNNNNNNNNNNNNNNNNNNNNNNNNNNNNNNNNNNNNNNNNNNNNNNNNNNNNNNNNNNNNNNNNNNNNNNNNNNNNNNNNNGUAGGGAGAGUGUGGGGGUCCUAGUUUGGCCAAAGAAGGCCAUACCCAGUGUUGGGUGAUAAGCUGACCACUGGGAAGUCCAAGACUAGAGUGAAUACGGACCGACAAACAGGUAGCUUGGUGCAAUGUUCAAGAGCCGGCUCUAGUUCCCCCUGGAGAUCAAAUGGUCAAUGCUCCCAGUCCAAGUGUGAGUGGCACUACCUACUUGGAUACCUAGCAUAGCUCAACAAAACUUCGCUCUAAGCCCAUGGCUAAAGAACCCAAAGGUGGAAGGUAGGGAGAGUACCCAUGAGGCUUACAUAGGGCCACGGUGUUCCAAAAUGUUGUCCCAAAGGCCCAGAUUGUGGAAAGGAAGAGGAGUAGUCCUUUGGUGGAGUGACCAAGGAUAUAGUCUUGUGGUGAGGAAGUCCCAGAGGACCAUAGGACUUAAUGGUCGGGCUUGUGGGCCUCAAUCCAGUGGCAAUGUUGGUGAACACGGCCAUGGGCCGAAAGGGACUUGGUGGGGAUCAGAAAAGGGAUAUUGAGGGAGGUUAUUCCUCAUGCUUGUGGGCAUCCUAAGGAUGUUAAGGAGUGGAUCUGGGGUGAUCACUUAUGGAUAGAUGGCCCAGUAUUUGAGAGAUGGGAUUGUGAUGUAGGUAGUGUUAGACCACCGGUGUGACCAAGGUGAAUGGGCAUGGCAUUAACGAAACGGGCUAAUAUGUUGGUGGUACCUUGGGGUGUCGGUCAUGGGAUCGGACACGUGGAGCACUUGGACCAAGUGCAAUGAUUGAGUGGCAUGGAUGCCAUUCUUGGGGCUAACAAGUCCCUAAGUCCAAAAUAGGAUUUAUGGAGGUUGUGAGUGAGACUCCUCCAAGUGGUCGGAGGGGUAGUUAAAUGACUAAAGUAAAAUAGAAAAUUUAGUCGCUUACAUAAUGCUGCUAUUGCUCAAGUCCAAGGACAAAGGCGAGGCCGUGGAGUUUGUUGUUAGGUGUGUGAUGAAGUUGGUUAUACUUAUCGGCGUUGUUAGCAUUUUCUAGAUUAGUAGCCACUAUUUCCUAGUGUAAGCGAUUAAUUUUUCCAUUCUACUUUAGUCACUUAACCACACCUCCAACCGCAUGGAGGAGUCUCACUCACAACCUCCAUAAGUUCUAUUUCAGACUUGGGCUUGCUAGCCCCGAGAAUGGCAUCCCCGCCACUCAACCUAUGCACUUGAUCCAAGUGCUCCACGUGUCCGAUCCCAUGACCGACACCCCAAGGUACCACCGAUAUAUCAACCCAUUACGCUAAGGCCAUGCCCCUUUACCUUGGUCACACCGAUGGACUAACACCACCUACAUCACAGUCCCAUCUCUCAAGGACUGGGCCAUCCGUCCAUGGGUGAUCAUUCCAGAUCCACUCUUUAGCAUCCUUAGGAUGCUCACAAACAUGGGGAAUAGCCUUCCCCAAUAUCCCUUUUCCGGUCUUCACCAAGUCCCUUUCUGCCCAUGGCCAUGUUCGCCAACACUGCCACUGGAUCGAGGCCCACAGGCCCGACCACUAAGUCCCACGGUCCUCUGGGACUUCCUCACCACUUGACUGUAUCCUUGGUCACUACACUAGAGGACUACUCCUCCUCCUUUCCACAGUCUGGGCCUUUGGGACAACAUUUCGGAACACCGUGGCCCUACGCGGGCCUCAUGGGUACUCUCCUCGCCUUCUGCCUUUGGGUGCUCUAGACAUGGGCUUAGAGCGAGGUUCCGUUGAGCCACACCAGGUAUCCAAGUAGGUAGUGCCACCCACACUUGGACUGGGAGCAUCGGCCAGUCAAUCUCCCGGGGGAACUAGAGCCGGCUCUUGAACACUUCACCAAGCUACCCCGCUUGUCAGUUUGUGUUCACUCUAGUCUUGGACUUCCCAGUGGGCAGCUCAUCACCCAACACUGAGUCCGGCCUUCCUGGGCCAAACUGGCCUUUCCUGGCCAAACUGGCUCCACUGCAGUCCUCCCCCUACUAUACUUUUGGAGCUCACCAAACCCCCUAGGGUCUGGGAGACGAACGCUUUGGGCUUUCACCCUCUCAGGCUCAAACUCGGACUUGGCCUCGGACUCGGACUCAGACUCGGACUCGGACUCGGAUUCAGGCUCGGACUCGGACUCGGCCUCGGCCUCGGUCUUGGUCUCGGUCCCGAUCUCGGUCUCGGUCUCGGUCCCCAGUCUCGGUCUUGGUCCCGGUCUCGACUUCGGACUCCAUCUUGGGUCCAUCUUGGACUCCAUCUCGGACUCCACCUCGGACUCCAUCUCGGACUCCACCUCGGACUCCAUCUCGGGUCCUUCUCGGACUCCAUCUCGGACUCCAUCUCGGGUCCAUCUCGGGUCCAUCUCGGGUCCAUCUCGGACUCCAUCUCGGACUCCAUCUCGGGUCCAUCUCGGACUCCAUCUCGGACUCCAUCUCGGACUCCAUCUCAGGUCCACCUCGGACUCCACCUUGGACUCCAUCUCGGGGUCCUUCUCGGACUCCACUUCGGACUCCAACUCGGGUCCAUCUCGGACACUUCCACAUGUCAUGUGUUGGUCCUUUUGGGUCCCUUUUUGGAGCCUCGCUUAUUGCUCUCUUUGUGCUUGUUUCUCGAGCACUUCGUUGGGAGUUCCACUCCCGCUCUCGACCUUUCAAGGUGGAGCUUUUAGUCCAAAUGUGUUACGCUCGUUUGGCUUUCGCUUCAACCUCUACCACGUGGCACCCCUUCGGCUCCACUUUGGGGCCUAGGGAUUUUGUGUCUCACAACUCCACCACCCAUAGACGAAGUUCGAUGUCCUCAUCGAACGGUAAACCCUUUCAUAAAGUAGCACCCGCACGUGUUACCAUUUCCAUCCUUAGCAUCUAGCCAAUAUUUGUCUAUGGUUUGACACCAAAGGCUCACCAUGCCUUGUCCAUCCUCUAAAGAGCAUAGCCCCUCUAACUUAGAGGCUCAUUCGACCACUUGUGGUGGUCCUCUCCUUUUAUUGGUUUAGUUCUCACUAAACUUGUUAGAGACACCUUCUCUAACUCAAUCCCACUACUCAUUCUCGAGUGGUCUCACUUUCCAUUGAUAUAACCUUUGCAUUUUGGAACUUUUAAUUCUGACUUCUUGAAGUCAAUUUCCUGGGUGUCUUCGACACCUUGCAUUGCACAUAUUGUGCAACUCCACUUCCCCCUCUUAGGAAGUCCUUUACUCGCGGGCAACAUCAUCCUCUCUUCGAUUUCGUGCCACCUUUGGCACUAAGUUUUGGUUAUCAUAAUUUGUGCUAGGGCUGCGCACGGCCCUAUCAUUUGGCUACUUUGCCGCUCCCUCACUUGGAGCUUUUACUUCGCCAAAUUGGAGCACUUAGGAAUCCAUCCUUGGAAGUCCACUUCCUUUCCCACAAGCUGUUAGCAUCAAACACAUUAGUGUUCUUUGGCUAACUUUGCCAUUUGGAUCCCUUCCAUUAAAUUCCAUGGCCCAAACUUGGCCACUAGUCCUUUGCUCCUAUCCUUGAUUGUUACACCCAGCAACAUCGGAUCGCUACCUCCAUUUUCGAGGUAUCCCUUCGGUUCCAUAGCAAAGACCCUUCUUUGCCAAGUCCAGAGGAUGUUCACUCCUAGUACAUCUCUUUAGCAUCUUUUGCUAUGGGCUCUAUCCACGGCCCAACUUCGUAACCCUCCCAUGGGUCUCUUUUAGAGACUACUUUCCUCGGACUCACUAUGCCAUCGCACGGACACAGCUUAUUUCCCUUAGGUGCUCUUCCCACUUGAUCACUUUGACCAAGCCACACCAUCUUAAAUAGUUCAAAUCAACAUUUUGAACCAGGAACUUCCUUCCUUAGCCAACCAAAGACUUUGUCUUUAUUUGGCCAUAAGAUCACCUAGUGAUCUCACCUUGGCACCUUACUAGAGUUGCCAAGAGGCACUUGGUCUUCUAGACCUUCAAGUUGUUGACCAUAACCCCGGAGGCAUCCCCCACACUUGGCGGUGCACCCAAGUCAGCCCUUACGGCCAAGGGUUCACAGCAACUGAGAAUAGGUGUCGCCAUCUCACUCACCACGUCCUUGGUGCCACUUGCACUAAAGCGUUCAAGUUAGAUAUGCUGAGCUUUCACACUAAGCAAUCUAACCGUGCAUCACGACUCCGAGGCAUCCCUCGCUUGGCGGUGUGCCCAAACCAGUCUCCCCACUGAGAGUGCAUGACCACUGAUAUAUGAGUGUCCUCAUAUUCCAAACCAUCACCACGCCCUAGUGAUUUGGGACUCGAACCCAAGCACUAGAGGGUCGGGACUCGAACCCAACCUCCGUAUAUGCAUCUACGGACGGCAUCACCCAGGAUGCCUGGCGUGACUCAUCACGCUGGUGCACCAACUUAUACUUAAAGCGUGCUACAGAUCACAGCUUAGGAACCUAGUUCCUCCACACUACCAAGUCCUCUCACUUGACAAGUCUGCGAUCAUGCAUGGACUCCUCCAUGCUUGGCCCCAUGGCCCACCCUUUUUGAAGUUAUCACCUUCAACUAGGGUAUUUGUUCCCCUGACUUGCCAAUCUCACUUGGCAAGUCCUCCGACCACUGUAACAUGGUUCCUGCAUAAGCGUGAAAGUCCUUGACCAUCGACUUUCGUUCAAAGCCCUCUCUUUGAACACUCGGGAACUACUUCCCUAACCUUGAUAGCCUUGCCUCAUGGCAAGCUUCAAGACCACGCUUCUGCUGCGCCACUCUGAUUUCGCGUGUUCCAUGAACCAUUUACACUUAGCCUUUCUAAGUACUAAGCUACAUAGAAUUGUCUUUGGGAACCUUGAAGGAACUUUGUCCUUUAGCUUGCUAAGGCCUCCCUUUUCGCAAGCUUUAUAGUUGUCAUAUAAUCUAACAUGGACAAUUCCAUGUUUUAGACUCUUCAUGGCAUCACGGUUGCUAGCAACAACAUCCUCGAGCACCUUCUUGAUUCUUCACUCCCAAUUUGCACAACCACUGUUGGAUAUGCUCUUUGAUUUCUAUGGUUCAGUUCCAUCCCAAUACUACUUGCCUUUUGGCCCUAUAUGUUUCCUUUGGUUAUUCUCCUCCAGACUAGGAGGAUAGCUUUGCACAUUUUACUAUGCCUUAGCAAGUAUUCUUAGGGAUGAACCUACCCGAUAGCCUAGGGAGUGGUUCCUCAAUCUUGGGCAUACUCACCUUAUAAUCCCACAUAUCGGGAUUAACGUUGCUGCUUAUGGGCCUUUACAUGCCCAUCACUAGCCUUGCCAAAAUUCCAUUUUUGGCUUUGUCCAAUUUGGGUAGACAGUUUUCUCCUGUCUCCACAACCUUGGACAUUUGGAUAACACCUACUAUCCAUCAUUCGCUAGGGACUUAGUCCCUUGGGCCUUAUCUAUUGCCCUUGCGACACGAAACACCACCUCCUAGUGUUCUAGAGUAUUUGGGUGUCCCAAUGAUGGCCUCCUGACCAUGAGCAUUCCAGUUUACGACAUUAACUUACUAUAUUGCAACAUAAGCAAUUUAUCCCCCGUAAGGGUAUAUCUAACUUCUUUAUGCCAUUAAGAAGUCUUGGGUAGCUACCUUCUACCCAUUUAACCAAUUAUUUUGCACCUCUUUCUUAGUUGCCCCAUAAUUGUCAAGUCCUAUAACUCAUUGCUUGGUACUUCCACACCUCCAUCAUUAUCUGGGUCACCACACUCUAACCGCAUGCCUUCCAACUUAAGCCAUGCCAUUCCCGCUUCCGUUGGGAUUCCCUUGGCAAGGGGUUCUUAUGAACCCACCAUCAUAACCUCAAGGUAUCACACCUUGGCACAUUUGGUGUCUCCACACCAUCGGCCCCACGAGCCUACCCUUAUGACACUACUUAUUAGUGUCUAGGUUUUUGCCAAGACCAAUAUAGUUGUUCCUCAUGCUAACUAUCCGUUAGCACCACACCAUAAUGUUUGCACCCAACUCUGGGCCAAAGUUGCUUUCUUCCGGGAACAUCUUUCCCACAACUUUAGUAUGGCACAUUCUGCCAUCAAUGAGAUACCUACUAUUCUCAUACUUGGAUUUUAUUAUCCUUCCCAUACCUCAUGGGGCACCAUACACCUCAGUCCAAAUGCUUCAACCAAUCCCUUAGGACCAUUCCCUGACUCCGCUUGAGUCAUCCAGCAUUUUGGACUUUGCUAAUCCAACAACUUGCGAAGUCUCAGUCUUAGAGGUGCCAACUCACUGGAAUACAAUUUCUUGUAUUCAUGUCCUACUCACAAGGACAACCUUUGCAAGUGUUACUUCGACACUUGAUUUGGUCUCUUGGGGCAACCUUUUGCCCCUUAGGACCACUUGUCCAUGUGAUGAGAAUGCCAACUCAUCCUCUGAGUACACCCCCAACUCCUUGGGUUGUUCCAACAUUUAUUAGAGGUAGCCCCGGCUACCAUUUCAAGGACUUGUGUCCUCUUCCGUAUUUGACCUCCCACGGUUAUCCAUUCCAGUCUCAAAUUUAUGAGCACUUGCCUCAACUAUGUGAGGAUAAUCUUAUGACUCCUUUAUUGUUUUGGAGUCUCUAUCUUUCCCGUGAUCCCAACUAUAAUUAUUUACCACAACUACCUUAGUCAAUUUGAUGAGCCAAAUGCUCAUCUGAAUCACAUCCUCAACUCAAUAAGGAAAACCUUGCACUGUUCCCAAGAUCCCAAAGUCGUUCGAUUAUUGGCCCUUUUCUAUCCACCACCGUGUCUACAAGUUCACAUAUGAACUAUAAUGGAGAGCCAUGUCUUCCCGACCUGCUACUCCUCAAGGAUAGGCCCACUCUUCAGACCUUCCGAUGCCAACACUAAUGGUGAUAUACUUGAGUACCAAUAAAAGGCGGACUAAGGAACAACUCCGAUACCAAGUUGUAAGCGACUAAUUUUUCCAUUCUACUUUAGUCACUUAACCACACCUCCAACCGCAUGGAGGAGUCUCACUCACAACCUCCAUAAGUCCUAUUUCAGACUUGGGCUUGCUAGCCCCGAGAAUGGCAUCCCCGCCACUCAACCUAUGCACUUGAUCCAAGUGCUCCACGUGUCCGAUCCCAUGACCGACACCCCAAGGUACCACCGACAUAUCAGCCCGUUACGCUAAGGCCAUGCCCCUUUACCUUGGUCACACCGGUGGACUAACACCACCUGCAUCACAGUCCUAUCUCUCAAGGACUGGGCCAUCCGUCCAUGAGUGAUCAUUCCAGAUCCACUCCUUAGCAUCCUUAGGAUGCUCACAGACAUGGGGAAUAACCUUCCCCAAUAUCCCUUUUCCGGUCUUCACCAAGUCCCUUUUUGCCCAUGGCCGUGUUCGCCAACACUGCCACUGGAUCGAGGCCCACAGGCCCGACCACUAAGUCCCACGGUCCUCUGGGACUUCCUCACCACUCGACUGUAUCCUUGGUCACUACACUAGAGGACUACUCCUCCUCCUUUCCACAGUCUGGGCCUUUGGGACAACAUUUCGGAACACUGUGGCCCUACGCGGGCCUCAUGGGUACUCUCCUCGCCUUCUGCCUUUGGGUGCUCUAGCCAUGGGCUUAGAGCGAGGUUCCGUUGAGCCACACCAGGUAUCCAAGUAGGUAGUGCCACCCACACUUGGACUGGGAGCAUCGGCCAGUCAAUCUCCCGGGCGAACUAGAGCCGGCUCUUGAACACUUCACCAAACUACUCCGCUUGUCGGUUUGUGUUCACUCUAGUCUUGGACUUCCCAGUGGGCAGCUCAUCACCCAACACUAAGUCCGGCCUUCCUGGGCCAAACUGGCCUUUCCUGGCCAAACUGGCUCCACUGCAGUCCUCCCCCUACUAUACUUUUGGAGCUCACCAAACCCCCCAGGGUCUGGGAGAUGAACUCUUUGGGCUUUCACCCUCUCAGGCUCGAACUCGGCCUCGGCCUCGGACUCGGACUCGGACUCGGACUCGGACUCGGACUCGGAUUCAGACUCGGACUUGAACUCGGCCUCGGCCUCGGUCUCGGUCUCGGUCCCAAUCUCAGUCUUGGUCCCAGUCUCGGUCUUGGUCCCGGUCUCGACUUCGGACUCCAUCUCGGGUCCAUCUCGGACUCCACCUCGGACUCCAUCUCGGGUCCAUCUCGGAUUCCACCUCGGACUCCACCUCGGACUCCAUCUCGGGUCCUUCUCGGACUCCAUCUCGGACUCCAUCUCGGACUCCAUCUCGGACUCCAUCUCGGGUCCAUCUCGGGUCCAUCUCGGACUCCAUCUCGGACUCCAUCUCGGGUCCAUCUUGGACUCCAUCUCGGGUCUACCUUGGACUCCACCUUGGACUCCAUCUCGGGGUCCUUCUCGGACUCCACUUCGGACUCCAACUCGGGUCCAUCUCGGACACUUCCACAUGUCAUGUGUUGGUCCUUUUGGGUCCCUUUUUGGAGCCUCGCUUAUUGCUCUCUUUGUGCUUGUUUCUCGAGCACUUCGUUGGGAGUUCCACUCUCGCUCUCGACCUUUCAAGGCGGAGCUUUUAGUCCAAACGUGUUACGCUCGUUUGGCUUUCACUUCGGCCACUACCACGUGGCGCCCCUCCGGCUCCACUUUGGGGCCUAGGGAUUUUGUGUCUCACACCUAGGUGGAGACCUUGGUGUCAACAACGUCUUAUUGGUGUUGUUGUAGUGGAAGGUUUGAACACCGAGAUGCAUCUGGGAAAUAAAGAGUCACGCAAGUAACGGAGGGACCUUGCGCGAAUAAAUCAUUGACCCCUUUAUCUUUCUUUUGGGAGUAUCAUCAAGGGGUUCACUCAGCACUAGUUCAUCCAAUAUUUACUUUCCAAGUUCGUUUUUAUAAUAAGUGGUCUCCUAUUAUUCUUUCCAUGUUGGUUGAUACAGGUUCAAGUUUAUCUUCUAUUGCUUGACCUAUUGGCACACAUUGCCAUCUACACUUGCAUCGUGUGGUGGAUUCAAUUUUCAUUCUUUAUGACAACGGUCGUACAUAUGCAUGUGCACGGGAUGAGGUAGACUUUGUUGUACAUGUGGGUAAUCUUGAGCUUGGGUUGCAAUCAUUGCGAGUGGUGGCGAGUUAAGCUUUUGACUUCAUCUUUGGUAUAGAUUGGUUGAAGUGCAAUCAUGCUAAGUGUAACUUUGAGGCUUCUCCCCUUUAACUUAUACUUUAUAUUUCAUCCAUUUCUCUCACUUAUGUAUCUUUUCAUCCCUUAGCUUGUACCUUUGCUUCCAUUACUUUUGUCCCUUCACUACUUCCUUCUAUAUUUUUUCUUGUUCUACUCUUCCCUUUUCCGAUCCCUCUGACAAUCUUUGUGUUGCAGUGGUUGACCGGCUCAUGAAGGAGUAUUUUGAUCUCUUUGAGUUUGACCUAUUGUCUGGGGCCAAGAUUGCCGCACAUCAUCCGAUUUCAACCAAGGAUGCUCAUCUAAUCAAGGUUCCUGUUUGUUAUCGGUCACCCAAAGAAAUCAAGACUUUACGUGCAAACGUCAAGGAGAUGUUGGAGAAGGGUGUUAUUUGGAAGUCACAGAGUCCUUGGGCAUAUGAUCCUUAUCUUGUAACGAAGCUUGAUGGGAGUAUUUGUUUCUACAUUGACUAUCAUCUGCUAAACGAAGUGAUAAUUCUAGAUGUGUAGCCUUUUCCUCACACUGUUGAUCUCUUGAAUCGUUUGGGGUGAAGUUGUUGGUUCACCAAGCUAGAUCUUACUUUUGGGUACUGGCAAAUACUGAUGGCUGAAAAAGAUAUUCCUAAGACUGCUUUUUGUACACUGUUUGGUUUGUUUGAGUUCUUGGUGAUGCCGUUUGGUUUGAACAAUGCUCUAGCAACUUUCCAGUAGAUGAUGGAUGAGUUUCUUUUCGAUAUGCUGAAGGUGACUGCUGACUUUAUUAAUGAUGUCUAGAUCCACUCGGAGGGGAUGUGGGAGGAGCACGUUCAUGAUGUUUGUAAAGUGUUGGAUCGGCUAUGGGAUGCUGGUUUAAAGCUGAAGCGGUCGAAGUGCGUAUUUGGACAACUUAUCUUGGGUACCGUAUUUCUCCUGAGGGUUUGCAAGUUGAUCCUAACAAACUUGUGGCUGUUCUAAAGUUCCCUACUCUAAAGUGUGUGAAUGAUAUGCAGUGUUUUCUGGGCAAAGUGCAAUAUCUUGAUCAUUUUGUGGAUCAUCUUUCUGAUCGCACUGCACUAUUGCAAACAUUGCUGAAAUCAUCAAUGUCAUUUUUCAUCUAGUGUUUGGAUUGUGAGUGGGUGUUUAUGAAUCUCAAAGAGCUAUUAACGACUCCUUUGGUUUUAACAUAUCCUAAUUACACUUGACCUUUUAUUUUGCACGUGGAUGCUUUUGAAAUUGGUUUUAAAGGUGUGUUGAUGCAAGAGAGCCCAAGUGUGUCUGGUCAGUGCUAUCCUAUGACGUAUAUAAGCCGUACAUUACAACCAGCUAAAGAGGUACAUGCAUUUUGCAUCGUGAUUUUCACAAAGGCAUUUCCUGAGUUAAAAAUUGAGAUUAGGAUUUCAACCAGUCUAAAUUCUUGACUUGGAUGACUGGGCAUAUAGUGGAUAUAUAAGCUCGUGAUAGCAAGUUAGACCUAUCCCCUUUCUGUCUUUUUAUAUCCUUGGCUAUAUUAACAUACACUCCACUUGCUCAACAUCUACUCUUUUCUUCCAUGCCUAUCUUACUCAUUGCCUUCUGGGAAUCAAGGCUGUGAGAUGUACAUCAAUCUUUUUAUUUGAAAGUGUAUGUAUUAAUAUCCCAAAACUUGUUUGUUUGUAAGUAACGAAAUCAAUCUAUAUUGUCUUGAAUCUUCAAUCAUAAUCAGAAGUCAAGCUCCUGGCUUGAAUCUUCAAUCGAGUAUUUCUUUCUCAAUUCUUCCCGAGUCUCUACUCGAGGUCACUUUCCUACUCGGACUCAGGAAAGGUAUUUUUAUAUGGUUAAGGUAGUUGAUAAAAUGUCAAGUCUGGUGCUGUUCUCCAACAUUUGGAUCAAACAGAUAUAUAUAUUAUCAAGACUCAUUGCAAGAGUUGAAUUCUUAACAAGUAUUUGUAUAGUAGUUUUGUGCUUCUUUUCCCAAGAUAUGGGCUCUUAUAACCAAAGACUAUAUUUUCUAAUUAGUUGUGAGAUUGGAAGAUUGUGGUUAUUGGCUUCAACCUUUAAUUUCUUCACUAAAUAUAAGUCUUCAAAAUUCCUGUUUUGUGGACCUCUUUAUCCUUGAGUUGAGUCCAAGUGUCAAAGUAAAGAUUCCAACAAAUUUCUUUAGCUUUGAUCUCGUGUGUGCAUGGACCUAUGUAACACUCUUUUCUCUAAGGUCCUUUCUUUAUCUUGAGGUAGGUAUGUUCAUGUAUAGCACUUUUGUCGACUGUAAAAUCUCCUUGAUUUAAUGUGUUGUAAACUAAACUAAAGUAAUGUUUUUGUAUUCAAUUAGUUAUCACUUAUUUGCUUCCUACAACUAUAUAAUGUCUUGUGUCUAUCAAAUGAAUUCUUGAUCUUGUUAGCUUCAUGUGUCAACUCAUUGGUUCUGCCUUACAUGUUGCCUUUGAUUUCAUGAUGGUUCAUUUCCCUUAUUCUGCACUUGCUGGUGUUGUUCAACUUCUCUCUGUUGUAUAGCACGUUCUCUUUCACAAUCAAAGUUGAUCACUUCGCGAACUUUUCAAGGUAUAGUCUCAAUUAAUAUUCUUGCAUUAUAAGUUUGAAAUCUUGACAUAGGAUCUCCUAAAAUACUCCUUAAAAUGUUGAGAUUUCUUGGACGCACUCUUCCUUGUUGGUUGUGAGUGAUAUUUAUCUCUAAACUGGGGUUUUGAUGUUGGACCUCAAUAUCAAAGUUGAAGUUUGUUACUGUAUUUAAUCUUGGCCUAUUGUGAUUCCAUCUUAAAUUUUUCCUCCGAUUCAUAAUCCUUGAGCUUUCAAGUCAUUCCCUUGAACUUGACUCAAGUUCAGGUUCCCGUCGGUUUUGCGAACUCAAAUUUUUAAUUCGAAUUUGUUGAUUGCUUUGUCUUUGAUUUCUUAAUUCUCCAGCUAUUCUCAUCCAUCCUAAACGAUGCCAAUAUACUAUAGUAUAUAGUUCAAUAAGAGUGCUUAUUAGUAACAUUACACCAAAAGGACUUUGAAGAAGUUGGUAAAGUAAUUUUGCAUUCUCUUCAAAAUCUCUAAAUCUAAGAGUGUUAAUAAACCAAUGAACUUGUAGUUCAAAGGUUCCACACUCUGUUGCUGUUAUGACUCUCGUCAAAUCAGUGUUGAAAACAAGUGUUAAUAGUUGAAAAGUUUCAUGUUUAUAUAUGCUUAGGAAUUCGAUAAUUGUUUGUUGAAAGAUGUGUCUGCAAUACACCUAAGUCAGAGUUCUUCGAGUUGUAAAGAAAUUGAAGUAAACAUAUUUUUCUUUCAACAUUUCUUCAUUUUUACAUUCUUCCUUUUUGCUAAACAAUUUGUAAAAGAGUCGCAAAAUUGUUUCUUGGAGUUUUAAAAAGCAACUAAAAUGUUGUUUCUCUUCUUAUUCUAAGCUAUUAUUAAUCUUUUCAGUUUUGUAUUCUUGAGUAAUUUCUUUCACCUCGUUUUCUUGUUCUUUUCUAACUUCUAUUGUAGCUUUUUCAUCCUUGAUUUUUAACUUUUCUUUUGCUAGUUUGCAAGUGUUGCAAUGCCAUUUAGGAUAAAAUUGUGUGUAUGGUUUGGCAUAAUUCCUGAAACCACAUAAAAAGCAAUCUUCAUAUCUUGUACACUUGGGAUUAUUAAAGGGAUAUUCAUGCUUGAUCAUUCUUCAUGUUUAUUACAAGGAUUUUCAAGACAUACAUCUUGAAUCCAAUUAUACCUUGAAGAUUUAAGGCUUGAAUGCCUAAUUUCAAGAGACUAACUCGAAGACUCAAGACAAUAGCUUGACUUCGACUUUACACAAAGAUACCAAAAAAGUGAAGGUUUUUAAAACAAGAAUAUCUCAAUAUAUUUAGACGAUUGAAUGUACCCCAAUAGGACCAAUCCUAUAAAAGCUCAAGAAAGAGAUUUACGAAACCAGAUAAAAAAUGAACGAAGGAACAUUUUCAAACUAAGACAUAUAGAGGAACAGUAGCAUAUAAUAACUGAGUUACAAGAUAAAGUCGAACAAGAAUUUCAAAACAAAACAGGAACCACCAGUUCCAAAAGACCAAGUGAGAAAACAUUUGUCACAACUACACUAGAUUCAGACUUGAUUGAGGACAACACUUUAGACCAAAGCUCGCUAACCAAACUUUCAACACAAGAUCAGCAACCACCAAUGGCAAUCAUCAACCUGAUGAGUACAAUUGGAAGUAUGAUUACAUAUUCGAUUUUCACAGGAAGUAAGUCAGAAGAUUCAGAAUUACAUGUAAAAAAAAUCAAUUAGAUUGUCAAGAUAAACAAUCAAGAACAAUAUCAAGCCAUACUUUUCCCAUACACACUUAAAGGAAAAGCUCUUGAGUGGUAUAAUACUAUAGAGGAUUCUAUACCACAUGACGAGAAACUUGAACAAUUCAAGGAAUAGUUCCCAGUUGGAGGAACACUGGAGGAGCAUUAUGAGCAAAUUAAGAAUAUAAAACAGCAAUUAAAGGAAGGAAUUCAAGACUAUACUAGACGAUUCAAAUUACAUGCAAAGAAAUGUAAAGAUCUAAUCACUGACAAAGGCAAAAGUUUAUCUUACAUACAAGGAUUACAAAAAGCCUAUUGAAACAUGAUAGCCUUGGCUGAUACAUUUGAUGAAAAAAGUGUUGAUUCACUAUCUCAAAAAAUCUUAAAACUUGAAAAACAAUUUAAGCAAUUCACUAAAGGUGAAUCUUCUCAUGCUAAUGAUGACUCGGAUGAUGACGAGGAAGAAAUACUAAUCAAAUUCAAGAAGAAAUAGAUACAGGGUAAAUACAAUAGACAUGUAUUGAAGAAGUUAACUUUAACCAAGUUUAAACAAGGAGUCUUUUGUACAAAAUGCAAAAAUGAAGGACAUUUUGUUUCAGACUAUAAAUUCUAUUUACCCAAAUGUCAUAUUUGUGAUAGAGAAGGACAUAUAGCCAAGAAUUGUCAAUAUAGAAAUACCAUCGAAAUUUCAAGAGUGGAAAAUAUUCAAUGAGGACCACCAUGACAAAAUUAUUAAGGAAACAACAACCACGAAAAAAGACUACCAAGAAACUAUUAUUACCAAGAUAAUCAACAAUAUAAUCAAAGAUAUAAUUGUGGAUAUAAUCCCCCACGAAAUUGAAAUUAUAGUCAAGGACAAAACAAUUAUAGAGGCAAUUACAACCAAUAACGAUAUAAUGGACAACUAAACAAUUAUCAACGUCCACAAGGGAACAACUACAACCAAAGCCAACAAAGGCAAUAUAACAAUUACAACAAUCAAGCAUCACAACAAAAUUAUCAACCAAAACAAAAUCAACCACAAGAAAAUCAAUCUAGACAACAAUACAAUCUAUAAAACCAAAGAGUCAAUUAAGUUCCUGUUGGAAGACCACCACCAGCACGAGCAGUCCAAGCAGAAGUUGAUAUAGAAGAUGAGGAAUAAAUAAUGACUGAAGAAUCAAAAGUCUUGGCAAUCACAAGAACACAAUAUAAAUGUUAACAACUUGAUAAUUAUGAAGAACAAGAUGAAAGUGAUCAAGCAUUAGAAAUCAAGAAUAUAGAAUGGAAAAAGAGUAAGAAAUUACUUAAAACCAUUCAACAAGAGCUUCAAAACAAAGAUCUUGAAAUUAUUAAUGAUCAAAUAUACAAUCAAGACAACUAAAUUCAAGUAUUAAGCUUUACUCAAGAUGAGCAUACAACCAUUGCCAAGCACAUAUUACAGCAAGGAAUUACUUUAACCCUAUAACAAAUACUACAAAUAGCACCAUAUAUGAAAAACCAAAUCUUAAAGAUAUGUAAUUGAAAAAUCCUUGAAGCUUGCACACAAGAAAAAUACCAAUCUCAACCAACACAACAAAAACAUACUGAAAGAAUCCAACCCAAUGAUUAUGAUGAUAAUGUACCUUGUAUCAAUGUAUACAUCGGCAAAAAUCAUAUUGAAAGAGCUAUCCUUGGAUGGAGGCUCUAGGGUUAAUACCAUUGAAUAUGCACUAUGUAAAGCUUUAGGACUGGGUAGUAUACAAAUUGCACCAUUCAAUGUAUACAUGGUUGAUCAAAGAGUUGUCAGACUAAUAGCUAUUAUAUAUGAUGUCUUUAUAACAAUCAAAGGACAUAAAUUUAAAGUUAACUUUGUUGUGUUAAAAAUGCCGAUUGAAGAAUCUUCUUAUGAAAUCUUGUUAGGCAGACCUUAGCUUAACAAAGUUGUUUCUGCACAAUAUUGGAUGGAACAUGAGAUAUGUAUACAAUCCCAAAAAGGACAACUAAAAUAUCAACAUUGACAAGUGGAAAAUCUCAAGAAGUUUUCGACCAAUACAAAUUCAAGAGUACAAUUGGUAAGAAGCUUAAACAAUCUUGAAGAAACUAAAUUAUUUGAAACAUAUCUUGAACUUAAGGCAAUCCAAAAAAUUGACCUCAACAACAUACUUCCUAUAUCCAAGUGUCAAGACUGUGAAGGUUCAAAACAACCAAAUUUAAAGAAGACAAAUACAACAAAAACCACUAUACAAAAAGCAAGACUAGUGAUACAACCAGAACAACUACAAACUAUAGAAUAUCACUUAGAUAUACAAGAUGAACCACCCUUCAUCAUCGAAAAUCAAGAAUUCAAACUUCACAUAAAUAUCAAUAAAGACAUUGAAGAAUUAAAUCUAGGGAUUCCCUCAAAUCCACAAAACGUCUCAAUAACUACACAACUUGACAAAACUUUUAAACUUGACGCUACUACAUUCCUUACUAAGUAUAAAGAUGUCUUUGCUUAGUCAUAUAAAGAUCUCAAAGGUAUAUCACCUGAUUUAUGUAUAUAUUGAAUUGAAUUACUUCCAGGCAUUCGACCUAUUAAAUAAACUGCUUACCAGAUGAAUCCAAUGUUCACUGAAAAAGUAAAAACUGAAAUCAACAAACUCUUUGAAGCAGGAUUUAUAUAUCCAAUACAAAAUAUCCAAUGGCUAUCACCUUUAGUUAUUGUACUUAAGAAAAAUGGGAAAUUACACAUUUGUGUGAAUUACAAGAAGUUAAAUAAUGCCACUAUGAAAGAUGCAUUUCCUAUACCAGUUUUAGAGGAAAUACUCGAUGUCAUAGUCGGUCAUGAGAUAUGUUCAUUUCUUGACGGUUUUUCAGACUACAAUCAAAUACACAUAACUGUCAAAAAUCAACAUAAAACAACUUUUAUAAGUCUAUGAGGAGUAUAUGCAUAUAUGAGAAUGCCAUUUGGAUUGACCAAUGCCCCAUUUACAUUUCAAUAGAUCAUUACUGAUACCUUCCAAGAUUAUUUCACAUAUUUCAUGCGAGUCUUUAUGGAUGACUUUAGUGUCUUUGGACCUCAAGACAAACACCUUGAAUACCUCAAGAAAUGUUUUAUCAAAUGCAGACAAAACCAAGUUGCUUUUAAUCCUAAAAAAUGUACUUUCUUUGUUAAAUCAGGAAUACUACUUGGCCACAUUGUUUCCACUCAAGGCAUUCAAAUUGAUAAAGCUAAAACCAACGUCAUUAUGAAAAUACAACCACCUAAUGAUCUCAAAAGUUUGCAAAGUUUUCUAGGCAAGAUGGGUUACCAUAGAAGAUUUAUCAAGGACUAUGCCAAAGUAGUUAAACCAUUAAUUGAUUUACUCAAGAAAGAUAAAUUCUAUCACUGGACUCAAAAAUGUUAGCAAGUAUUCUUGAUACUCAAAGAUAAAUUUACACAGACACUAAUUCUUGUCCAACCAAUCUGGACUCAAGAAUUUUCCAUACAAGUUGAUGCCUCUGAUUAUGCGCUAAGAGCAAUUCUUUGCUAAAGAAAAGAUGAUCAUUGUGAUCACCCUAUAUAUUAUGUAAGUCGAUGACUUUCUCCACCCAAAAUGAAUUAUACAACUACAGAAAAAGAAGCCUUAGGCAUGAUAUAUGCCUUAACCAAAUUUCUGACACUAUUUAUUUUCCAACAAAGUAAAAAUAUUUAUCAAUCAUUAAGCAUUGAUUCAUCUACUCAACAAACCCAUAUUUAGUGGACAAAUAGCAAGAUGGCUUUUGUUAUUACAAGAAUUCAAUUUCGAAAUAGUUCACAAACCUGGCAAAUACCACGAACAAGCUAAUCAUCUCAGCAGAAUUACAAUUGGGGAAAAUAUACAAGACCCCAACAAUGACUUACCUGAUUCACAUCUUUUUAAGAUUACGACCCACGAUACACUUCAAGAAAUCUUUAAUUAUUUAACAACUACAAAAGUUCCCACAUCCUGUACCACGCAAGAUCAAAGGAAACAAUUUGUCUUGAGAACAUGAUGAUACUCAAUUGUCGGAGGAAAACUCUAUAAAAUUGGGCAUGAUAAUAUAUUAAGAAGAUGUGUAAGAUCACAAGAAGAGAUACACGAGUUACUAGAAGAAGCCCAUGCAAGUUGUUCUGAAGGGCAUUUUGCAGAAAAAAUUACAGCAAGAAAAAUAUUGCAAGCAGGCCUAUGGUGGCCUACAUUAUGGAAAGACACUUCACAGUUUUGUCAAACUUGUGAUAUUUGUCAACAUACAUAAUUUCCACCUAAGAAACAAACACAAGAACUGAAUCCAAUUAUAACAAUGGAAUCUUUCCAAAGAUGGGGCCUAGAUUUUGUAGGACCCAUACAAAUGGAAAUCAAUAUAUUUUGGUGGUAACAGAUUACAUGACAAAAUGGGCAGAAGCCCAACCACUCAAGAAAGCAACAGCAAAGAAUACAACUAAGUUUCUUUAUAAAACAAUUAUCACAAGAUAUGAAUUACCUCGAGAAAUAAUAAUAGAUAGAGGAACAUAUUUCCUCAAUGAAACAAUCAAGAUUUUACUCGACGAAUUCAUCAUCAAACAUAAGAAAUCUACACCAUAUUAUCCAUAGGGCAACAGCUAAGCCGAAUCCACAAACAAAACACUCAAAAACAUACUGAAGAAAAUUAGUGCAAACAAAUCUUAAAGAUUAGGAUAAUAGAGUUUAUGAUACUCUUUGGGCUUAUAGAAGAGCAUAUAAAGUUUCAACAAAUUCAACUCCAUUCAAAUUUGCUUAUGGACUUGAAGCUUUAACACCACUACAAUAUACUAUACCAUCCUUGAGAAUGGCAAUUCAACUAAAUUAAUCAAGAAAAGAUUGGUUAUGCUAGAAAAGUUAGAUGAAGAAAGAUUAUAUGCUUUAUGGACAAUUGAAGCCAUACAAGCAAGAAGAAAAACUUAUCACAAUAGAAAACAAAUUAUAAAGAAAACUGAUAGAUUUGAAGUUGGAAAUUUUGUUCUAUAGUAUAAAGGAAAUGUUGACAAAAUAAAAGGCAAAUUGGUAUAUCAAUGGGAAGGACCAUUCAAGAUCACAAAUAUGCAAACACCUGGCACAACUCACUUAGCGACAUUCAAUGAUGAAGAAAUUCAAAUAGUCAAUCUCAACAAAUUGAGAAAAUAUCAAGAACCAAGCAUGGCGUAUAUACAAGCCAUGCACACUAUGCUGGAAUUGACUACCAAUGAAACCAAUACAACUCAUGUUGUACACAAAACAGUUCCACAACAAUCACAAACAACUCUACUCAAGAAAAGACUUAGUGAAAAUGCAAGAACACUAUAUAUAAAACAGAGUUAGCCCUAACCCUGACAGAGAGGAAGUGUGUGUUGAAAAAUCACAAGGGUAAUCUUGAGUGGCAAGCAAAUCUUGAGAUCACAAGUGCAGUAGAGAGUGAUCAUCAGCUAGGUGCUCUCACCCAUCUCAAACAAGUGCAUCAGAUUCUAAGAAACACACCGAUCAAGAGAGACAAGAAGAAAGCAAGUAGAAAAGAGAGAGCCCAAAAAAGAAGCAAGAAGAGUGUGUUCACAAGUAUAGAGAGAGCACUCAUAUCUUUUCCUCUAUUUGAAUCACAUGUGCAAGUGCAUUCUCAACAAAGCCGAAGAGUUGAUACAAUGCGAAAAACACCCAAGACAGAUACUAUCCUCUCUCAAAAUCUUGAGUGGCAAUUUGAUGCAAAUGUCAAGUGUUGGACUCACGAUCACAGCCUCUUUGAUUUUGUAGAAUGAAUGGCGGGAUAUCUCAUGAAUCAAGUGAGCAAUGAGAAGGCUCACUUGAUGGAUCUUGCCACCGGCCAGGUUGAACUUGAAGAUUCGGAGUUGGCAGCAACUCUAUGUCUCCUAGCUGAAGGCAAGCAAGUCUCUGCUCCAUGCACAUGGGCUUUAAGUCACUACAUCAUGAAAGAUCCCAGGAGCUACAACUCGGCACUUAGUUUGCAAUUCUCCAAUGUCAAGGACAAGCUCUACAAGAUCUUCAAGUUCCUUGUUCUCAACCUGGAGUUCCGGAAGAUUGCCACGAUAGUGAGCAGAUCUGUGGCCUUCAUCUACGAGGAUCUUCAAGCUGGGAAGAAAGUGGAUUUAGUAGGAUAUGUGAUCCCGAAGUUUCACAAGGAACUUAAGAAGGUGACAGCAGAUCUCAAUGUGGGGAGAUGUGUGAGGAUGCUGAUACUACUGUAUGUCCGAGCCAUGUUCACGCAUAGGAGUCAAGCCAUGGUGAUCUACAAUCCACCACCUCUGCCUCAGCAGCAUGCAGCCACGGAAGUUCAAAGCCCCAAGCUGAAGACAGCUUGAUGAACACCGAGAAGAAAAAGGUCCAGCGAAAGGCAGCAGCAACUCCACGAAGAAAAACAUGGGGAGAAGGCUGAAGAAAUGUUGGGACUCCACAGGUUGACAGUGACGAAAAUGAUGUGUAGACAGUCUAGCGCAAGGUGCCGACAUGACAACAACCAACGAGAACCUCUAGCUCCAAAACAAAACAGUAGUAGAGUUUGGCACUUACACAACUAUCAAUGAAGAGCUUGUAGCCUCCAAGCUCACUGCAGCCGGAUUUGCCACCAUCGCCACUGCACGAACAAGUGCUACUCCAUCUCUAACAACAACAAUUCCAGUGGACAAUCACUUUCAGCUAACAUAGGAUAUUCUUGAAAAUCCUAAGAUGGUUACAAUUCCACCAUCUAUUGUGCCAGGGCACAUUGCUCUUCACGAACCACCCAUGCAGCAGGAGCAGCAACACUAGCCUCAGCAGCAGCCUACCAUGCCACAGUUGUUUGCAAAACAACAACAGCCUCCACCACUACAGCCUGUCAAGCAGCACCAACCUUUGCUGCCACAACCUGCUGAGUAGCCAUCUCCACCAUAGCAACUUGUCAAGGAGCAGCCAUUUCUACCAUAGAAACUAGCAGAGCUACAUUAGCAUGUUGAGGAGCAGCCACCUUUGCCACAGCAGCCAACCGAGCUAUAGCAACUUGUUGAGCCACACUACAAUUUGCAACAGCAAUUGGCACCACCAUAGCCUGAGCACACACAGACAUUUGCUCCAGACAUCAACGCUGAGGACAUGUGGCUGCCUCGUUUAGCAAUGCAUCACCAGUUUCCUCACAAGCGCAUGAGCACCAAACACCAUCACUAUGAUAAAUACGCCACCAACAACGUUCCAAUCGAAGCAGAGGAGCAGCUACAACCAAAAGUGUACCGUCCCAUGCUUACAACUUUUUGGAGCAGUACCAUAACUCAAAUAUGGCAGUGUACACGUGGGAUGGCAUGGAGAGCUUCUUUCACAAGGUUUUUGAGUGACCACACAAGGAGAAGUUGGCAAGCAUGGCUCAAGAACUCGAUCAGGUAAAAGGAAUCCUUCUCACUAUGCAGGCUCAUGGACUCCCAACACCAAACACCUACUGAGAAUCUUUCGAGUUAAUGCAGCAAUACUAACUCAAGAAUGCCCGCCUCACCAAAGAAAACAUGGAGCUUAAAGCCCGACUUCAAGUGCUUGAGACUACUAUUAAGAACUACACUCGUGACGAGCUUGAGGACUAUGAAGAAGAACUAGAGGCUAACAACACAACUGCCACUACCACCACAAUGGAAGCCUGAGCUGUAGGAGCUGCUCAACUCUAGUCGUCGAAGAGUAGAGAGGUACAUGCAUUUUGCAUCAUGAUUUUCACAAAGGCAUUUCCUGAGUUAGGAAUUGAGAUCAGGAUUUUAACCAGUCCAAAUUCCUGACUUGGAUGAUUGGGCAUGUAGUGGAUAUAUAGGCUGGUGAUAGCAGGCCAAACCUAUCCCCUUUCUGUCUUUUUAUAUCCUUGGCCAUAAUAACAUACACUCCACUUGCUCAAUAUCUAUUCUUCUCUUCCAUGUCUAUUUUACUCAUUGCCUUUUGGGGAUCAAGGCUGUGAGAUGUAGAUCAAUCUUAACAUCAACAUUUUUGUGACGACACAUGACUAAGUAUUUCUUUCCUUUUCAUGUUUGGAUCUAGAUUAGAUUAGAGAGGAUUCACAAAAUCAUUGUAGAGGUGAUUUUAUAGUUCUCCACUAGUGGAGGUGAACUACUCCACAAUAGAGGAGUGUUUAACAACAGUAUGCAUAUCUACAUGGUUAUCAAACGUUACUUGAAGGUGAUCAUGCUGCCAUUACUUCAUUAUUGAAGUAAAAGAACUUGGUUUGUUGUAUUGUUCGAUGGGCUUUGAAGCUUCAGAUAUAUGAUUUUAAUGUUAUUCAUUGCCCAUGAAGUUCUAUGAUUGAUGCUAAUGCCCUUUCUCAAGCUCCUCUUCCUUCUCCACUCUCUUCUCAUGUUUCUGAUGAGCCUGUUGCUUUAGCAUCUGUGGAUUUUCUAGAUGAGGAUUUUGUGCCAUCAGUGGUUGUUAUAUUUAAUGUUCAGUGUCCACAAGAUUCAGAGCAAGAUUUACCUUCUUUUGAUGAAGUUCAUGAAGCUCAAAAGAUUGAGCCAUAGAUUCGAAAGCUUUGAGAUGGGUUUGAGAAUCUUGCAUCAUUUGUUGAUGACUUGCCAUUUUGGCAUUUACAUUCUCAAUAUCACCUUAAAGACAGCCUUCUUUAUUUUGUGGGGAUGAAUCCUGAUGAUCAUUUACUAUUAGUGGUGCCUUUUGUCUUUGUUCCAUGGUUUCUUCAUGCCUACCAUGAUUCUCCUAUUUUGGGUGUGCAUAUGGGACAUCCUUGUAUGAUGGAGAAGUUGCACAAGUCUUUCUAUUAGCUAGAGAUGUGAUAUGAUGUUAUUCAGUAUGUGUGUAGUCACAUUUGGUGUUAGGCUCAUAAUACUCCCCCUCGUGUCGUGGAAGGACAGUUAGAGUCAAUUGCAAUUUCCUGUUCGUUUGAGCUUGUGGCAUUUGAUCUUAUAAGACCUUUUCCAUGAUUGACUGUUGGUAAUGAGUAUGUUAUUAUUGCUUCUGACUACUUGAUUUGUUGGGUGGAAGUUAAUGCUCUUGCUAGUGCCUUUGCAACUGUUAUUGGAUACUUCCUCCUUAAUCGAGGGGUGUUUUAGCAUUCUUGUCUAGAGCAGAUUCUUUUGGAUAAUGUCCCACAUUUAUGGCUGAGGCAUUUCAUGUUUUGACAUCUGAGUUGGGGAUACGCCAUACUUUCAUGAGUGCUUAUCAUCCAUAGUCAAACGGUUUGGUGGAACGGCUUAUUUGGACAUUUAAAGGAAUUAUCGUGAAGUACGUGAACUUUCAACAUUCGGAUUAGGAUUGUCAUUUGCUGUCUUUUCGGUAUGAAUAUGUUACAGGGGUGCAGAGUUCUAUUGGUGUUUCACCAUAUGAACUUUUAUAUGGUCAUGAUCCAAUAUUACCAACAGAGCUGGGUUUACCAUCGCAAUUGCCACAAGAUGCCGAUGUUAGGUCGUGGGAUCAAUAUUUGACAAGCAUUCUUCCACUUGUCUAAGCAGAGUCUGCUAAACACUUAAGCCGCGUAUAAGUGGGACAACAACAACACUACAACUCCCAUUAUCAUCCACCUGCGGAGUACAAAGUGGAUGACUUGAUGUUAGUCCAUUUUCCCCAUUUUACGGUAUAUGGUUUAUCUAAGGGGCUCCUUGCUCAGUGGAAAGGACUGUAUUAUAUGUUGUGGCAAGUUGGACCGCAAGUUUAUGAGGUUCGAUAUAACGUUUAGCAAGCCGAUCCUGCAAAAAUUGUGCAUGUGUAGCGGUUAAAAUGCUUUAUACAAAGGGAUCAGGAACAACUAAUACCACCUAUAGAUUUACCGAUGCCUCCUCCUAAUAUUCCUCUAGAUCUCAACCCAUCUACAAGAGAAACCUGAUGGUCUUCCAUUAUUCUGAGAGGAAGGGAUGAUGUGAGGUCCAAAUGUAUACCUACAAUACCAUAUACUAAUAUUAGUGUAGUGGGAUUUUGGUAGCCAUCAUAUUGGUUUCAAUCCGGACCACUUACUCUUAUAUAUAAGCUAGUGGGUUAUUUGGGCUAAUAGAUAUACAUAUUUUUUGUAUUCCUUUUCCAUAUUCCAUGCACUCACAAAAGGAUGAUCCAAAAUUGAGGUGAGUUCACAAGUUUAGCUCAACUCAGCUAAAGUCAAUAUCAAACAAUAUAGUCAACUAUAAAUCUAACAAAUAGAUUUCAUAUUAAAAAAUGUUAUUCUUUAGAAAAGUUGAAAUUCAUGAAUUCAAUUUUUUUAAAGUAUAUGAAUGGCUAGAGAGAAUGCUAUUGUUACUCACACUUGGCCCCUAUAUAGCUCAUAUAAAUCUUUACCUUCAUCUUUAAUUUCUAUCAACAUUCUACCCUUCUCUCCACACAAUAAGUGUUAUGAAGUUUUUCCUUUCAUAGCCUUGAGUGUGAUUGAAUAUGAAAUCUCUUUUUGAAAUAAUGUUUUAGAUAUUAUUAUUAAAGUUGGAUUACUUCAUGUGUUUCAAGAGCAAUGUCAUUGUUUCUUUAAGAUCUUGCUCCAAAAACUUUUGAAAGAAUAAGCACAUCUUAUCUUUAUUGUCCUAUAUAUUAUUUUUAUUUGGACAAAAUGAAUAGCUAUAUGGGUCUAGAAACUUUUCUAAAACGUUUAUAUGACUUCUCAAUUCAUGGGAAGACUUAUAUUGCAUAUGUCCUACCAUGUAUACAUAGGAAGACUUCUAAAGCUCAUCGUAUUAGGGAUUUGUGAUAUAAAGGAAAAACUAAAUAUAUAUUACAUCUUGUGAGUGCAUGGAAUAUGGAAAGGGAAUACAGAAAUGUGCAUAUCAAUUAGCCCAAAAACCCUAGCUUAUAUACAGGAGUGAGUGGUCCGGAUUGAAACCAAUCUGAAGGCUACCAAAAUCCCACUACGCUAAUAUUAGUAUACGACAUCGUAGCCGUACACUUGGCCCUCACAUCAUCCCCUCUUCUCGGAAUAAUGGAAGACCAUCAGGGUUCUCUUGUAGACAGGCUGGGAUCUGGAGGAACAUCAGGAGGAGGCAUUGGCGGAUCUGUAGAUGGUAUUAACCGCUCCUGAUCCCUUUGUAUGAAGUGUUUCAACCGCUGCACAUGCAAAAUCUCUGGAGGAUCGACCUGCUGAACGUCAUGCCGAACCUCAUAAACUUGUGGUCUAACUUGCCGCAACACCCGAUACGGUCCUUUCCACUGUGCAAGGAGCCCCUUAGAUAAACCACGUACCAUAAGAUGGGGAAAACAGACUAACACCAAAUCAUCCACUUUGUACUCUGCAGGUGGAUGAUGAUGGGAGUUGUAGCGCUGUUGUUGUCCCACUUGUAUGUGGCCUAAGUGUUCAGCAAACUCUGCUCAGACAAGUGGAAGAAUGCUUGUCAAAUAUUGAUCCCAUGACCUAGCAUCCGCAGCUCGUGGCAAUCGCAAAGGUAAACCCAGCUUCAUUGGUAAUAUUGGAUCAUGACCAUAUAGGAGUUUAUAUGGUGAAGCACCAACAGAACUCUGCACCCCAGUGACAUAUGCAUACUGAAGAGACGGCAAAUAACCAUCCCAAUCCGAAUGUUGAAAGUUCACAUACUUCGCAAUCAUCUCCUUGAAUGUCUGAACGAGCCGUUCCACCAGACCGUCUGAUUGUGGAUGAUAAGCACUUGUGAAAGUGUGGCAAAUCCCCAACCGAGACGUCAAAACAUGAAAUGCCUCAACCAUAAAUGCGGGACCAUUAUCCGAAAGAAUCCGCUCUGGACAAGAAUGCUGAAACACCACUCGAUUGAGGAGGAAGUAUCCAACAGCAGUUGCAGAGGCGUUAGCAAGAGCACCAACUUCCACCCAACGAGUCAAAUAGUCAGAAGCAAUAAUAACAUACUCAUUGCCAGUAGUCGACUGUGGAAAAGGUCCCAUAAGAUCAAAUGCCACCAACUCAAACGGAGGGGAAAUUGCAAUUGACUCCAACCGUCCUUCCGCAGCCCGAGGGGGAGUAUUACGAGCUUGGCACCAAAUGCAGCUAUGCACAUACCGGAUAAUAUCACGUUGCAUCUCCGGCCAAUAGAAAGACCUGUGUAGCUUCUCAAUUACACGACGAUGUCCCAUAUGCCCACCUAGAAUAGGAGAAUCAUGGUAGGCAUGGAGAAACCGCGGAAUAAAGAUAGAAGGCACCACCAGCCGUAAAUGAUCAUCAGGAUUUGUCCCCAUAAAAUAAAGAAGGCCAUCUUCAAGAUGAUAUUGAGAAUGUAAAUGCCGGAAAGGCAAGUCAUCAGCAAGUGAUGUAAGAUUCUCAAACCCAUCUCGAAGCCUUCGAAUCCAUGGCUCAAUCUUUUGAGCCUUACGAACCUCAUCAAGCGAAGGUAGAUCUUGCUCUGCACCUUGUGGACAUUGAAUGUCAAAUAUAGCAACCGCCGAUGGCACAGAAUCCUUGUCUAGAAAAUCCACAGAUGCUACAAUAACAGGCUCGUCAGAAACAUGAGAAGAGAGUUAAGAAAGAAGAGGAGCUCGAGAAAGGGCAUCAGCAUCAGCCAUAGAACUCCCUGAGUAGUGAACAACAUCAAAAUCAUAUAUUUGAAGCUUCAAAGCCCAUCGAGCAGUACGACCAACCAGGUUCUUCCGCUUUAAUAACGAAGUAACAGCAGCAUGGUCACCUUCAAGUAACGUCCGAGAACCAUGUAGAUAUGCAUGAAGUUUCUCGAAACCCCAGACUGCUGCUAAACACUCCUUUUUUGUCGUGGAGUAGUUCAUCUCCGUUGGUUGUAAUGUACGGCUUAUAUAUGCAAUGGGAUGGCGCUGAUCAGGCACACUCGAGCUCUCUUGCAUCAACACACCUCCAAGACCAAUGUCAGAAGCAUCUACGCGCAAAAUAAAAGGUCGAGUGUAGUCAGGAUAUGCCAAAACCGGAGGAGUUGUCAAUAACUCUUUGAGAUCCCCGAACGCCCGCUCACAAUCCGGAGACCAAAUGAAAAAUGACGUUGAUGACUUCAACAACGCUUGCAAUGGUGCAGUGCGAUCAAAAAGAUGAUCCACAAAACGCCCGAGAUACUACACCUUGCCCAAGAAACGCUGCACAUCAUUCACACACUUCGGAGUAGGGAACUUUAGAACAGCCACAAGUUUGUCAGAAUCAACUUGCAAACCCUCAUGAGAAAUAUGGUACCCAAGAUAAGUUGUGUCUUUGGAUCCAAACACGCACUUUGACCGCUUCAGCUUUAAACCAACGUUGCGUAGCCGAUCCAACACUUUACAAACAUCAUGAAUGUGCUCCUCCCACUUCCCCUCUGAGUGGAUCAAGACAUCAUCAAUAAAGUCAAUAGUCACCUCCGGCAUAUUGCAAAGAACCUUGUCCAUCAUCCGUUGAAAAGUUGCUGGAGCAUUGUUCAAACCAGAUGGCAUCACCAAGAACUCAUACAAACCAAAUGGUGUAUGAAAAGCAGUCUUAGGAAUAUCUUCUUCGGCCAUCGAUACUUGCCAGUACCCAGAAGCAAGAUUUAGCUUGGUGAACCAACGACUUCGCCCCAGACGAUCCAAAAGAUCAGUAGUGUGAGGAAGAGGGUACACAUCCGGGAUCGUUACGUCGUUUAACGGACGAUAGUCAAUGCAGAAACGAAUACUCCCAUCAGGCUUCGUCACAAGAUGAGGUUCACAUGCCCAAAGACUCUGCGACUUCUGAAUAACACCCUUCUCCAACAUCUCCUUGACAUUUGCACGUAAAAUUUUGAUCUCCUUUGGUGACCGACGACGAACAGGAACCUUGAUUGGACGAGCAUCCCCAGUUGGAAUCGGAUGACGUGUGGCAAUCUUGGCUCCAGACGAUAGGUCAAAGUCAAAGAGAUCAGAAUACUCCUUCAUGAGUCGAUCAACUGCUGCAACACAAAGAUCGUCGGAGGGAUCGAAAAAGGGAAGAGCAGAACAAAAUGGAAACACAAGAGGAAAUAGUGGGGAAACAAAAGUAAUGGAAGCAGAGGUAGAAGUAGAGGGACGAAGAGGUACAGAAGUGAGAGGAAUGGAUGAAACAUAAAGAAGUAUGAGACAAGGGGGAGAAGCCUCAAAGUCACACUUGGCAUGAUUGUGCUGCAACCAAUCCAUACCAAGAAUGAGGUCAAAAGCUUGACUCGGCACCACCCGCAACGACUGCAACUCAAGCUCGAGAUCGCCCACACGCACAAUCAGGUCUGCCUCAUCCCGUACACAUGCAUGUGUACGGCCGUUGCCAUAAAGAAUGAAAACUGGUUCCGCCGCACGACGCAAGUGUAGACGACAACGUGUGGCAACAGGUCAAGCAAUAGAAGAUAAACUCGAACCUGUAUCAACCAACACGGAGAGAAUAAUAGAAGACCUCUUGUUAUAAAGAUGAGCUUGGAAAGUAAACACUGGAUGAACUGGUGCCGAGUGAACCCCUUGAUGAUACUCCCGAAAGAAAGAUGGAGGGGUCACUGACUUAUUCGCGCAAGGUCCCUCCAUUACUCGCGACUCCUCAUUUCCUGGAUGCAUCUCAGUGUCCAAACCUUCCAUUGUAGCAGCACCAACGGGACGUUGCUGACGCCAAGGUCUCCACCCAGGAAAUGGAGGUCGCCAAUCCGGAAAAUGCCGACAACGCCGAUAAGUAUGACCAACUUCAUCACAUGCCCAGCAGCGAACAUCACGGCCACGACCACGUCCUCGCCCUUGACCUUGGACUCGAGCAACAGCAGCAUCAACCUCCAUUGGAACAGGACCAUCACCCACAGGAAGUGGAGCUGAAGGACGUGCAGCGAGAAGUGGAAGAGGCGACGUCUCAUAACGUUGUACCAAGCGAAGAGCAUCAUCAAGGGUGGCAGGAGCAAGUGCAUGCACAAGUCCGACAAGAUCUUGACGAAGUGUUGGCCACAACAUUCUUAGCUUGAUCCGCUCCGACAUAUUUGGCUCCGCACGAAGCAAAAGACUUCGGAAACGAACACCAAAUUGCAUCACCGACUCAGAUGGCCCUUGGCAAAGACGAUACAAUUUUUGGAAAGCAUCAUCACAGUCAUCGGCAUGUCCGAAGGCGCAUUUGAAGACAUCCGGAAGAACACUCCAAUCCUCGCGAGUGGCUGCUCCCAAACCGUUGUACCACUGCAACGCCGUCCCUUGGAGACACGUGGGAAACUCACGCAAACGUCAAACAUCAUCCCAAGAAUGAUAUGUGGCAAUCACCAUAAAGUGAUCGAACCAAUGGUACACAUUAUCCCCAGGAUUCCUACGAAAGAACUCCGGCUAAACACGAGGAUUGGCACCAAGAGCAGGAGGAGUUGUACCAUGUGCCGUGAACGCCACCAUCAACUGAGUUUGGUUGUUCAAUUGCAAGCGCAUAGCAUCAAGCAAUUGUACCAACUGCUGCUCCAAAGUCAAAGGAGGAGAUUGCUGAUCUGCCAUGAAGAUGAAUGAAAAAGAAAGAGCAAAAGAAGAGAAACGACAAAAAAGCUAGAAGGAAAUGGUAGAUCUAGACAAUGCAAAAAGCUAGAUCUAAACCAAAAUCCUGAAAGGAAAGAACAAAAGAAAGGAAAUGGAAAAAGCUAAAUCUAGACAAUGCAAAAGCUAGAUCUAAACUGAAAUCCUAAAUCCAAGCACUCCCCAGGGACAAUCAAAGGUGCCCCUCAUCUCCACCAAUGUGAGUGCAUGGAAUAUGGAAAGGGAAUACAGAAAUGUGCAUAUCAAUUAGCCCAAAAACCCUAGUUUAUAUACAGGAGCAAGUGGUCCGGAUUGAAACCAAUCCGACGGCUACCAAAAUCCCACUACGCUAAUAUUAGUAUACGACAUCGUAGCCAUACACUUGGCCCUCACAAUCUGAGUUUUUAAAAAAUCAUAAAUUACCUCUUUGAAGCAACUAAUAGAAAAAGAUGAAAACCUUUAAGGCAGCAUUUAAAAAAGUCAUAUUCUUCAAUUGCAAACACCAAUUUGCAAAGUCACAUGUUGCCAUGACCAUCAAACCACUAUCUACUAUGCAAUCAAUUACAAGGCCACUAGUUGGGGGAUAAAGCUCAAGUAGGAUAUGUAUCACCAAUGGAGAUCAGAAUUGAUACCUAAGCUUUCAGAUGUCUUUGUCUAUGAAAUUUAGUAUGACGUUAGUAGACCUAUCAUACCUUGGCAAACCACCCCACCAUAAAGUUUAGGUGGAGUUGACACAUAUAUAUCAAGCCAAAUUUUCAAUUAGCGUUUAAAGAGUUUAGCAAACAAUAAUAGGUUGCUGUUGCAAAUGUGACUUUGGGUAUCGAAAGUUACUUGUUAGUUAGUCCUUUCGGAUAUUCUUUCUUUAUUACCACGACAAUAAGAGGUUAGUAUUGUUGGACCCGUUAUCAAUUUCCACUUGAAUUAGUUGAGAAACUGGUCAAUGACUAUGCAUAGAUUGGAUAAACAUAAAGUAGGAACCUUAUGUGUUCCUUGCUGAGCAUACUCGGCCUAGUUUGAGAAACUUGUAUCAUUGACUUGCACUUGCUAAUAUCAAGAACCCCCAUGAUAUUGAGUGAUAACUUACACUAAAUGAUAACUUACCAUAUCUACCAAACACCCUCGCUAUCAUGCCCCCACAACCCCCCCGAAGAACACACGCUUUGGGCUUUCACCCCAAGCCUCCUUUAGUACCAGGAGUUAGUCCCUGGGACAAGCUUGAAACUUACUAAAUAUGGAAUGUACCUAAAUUGUGAAUUUGGAUAUGGGAAUAGCCUAGGGUUUAGGGUUUAUGUUCCCACAUACCUCUGAAAUUCAGUGGUUUAGCAUUGUGUUCAGGAUAAUCUUUACAUUCUGUUGAUAUGCCAAAUAAGCAAAUCUACACUCUUUCCAUAAAUAGCAUUUGAAACCGAAAUGAGACUAACACAAAAGGCAUGAUAGCGAAGGUGUUUGGCAGAUAUGGUAAACUAUCAUCCAGCGAUAUUGAGGGAUUAGUCUCAAUACGCAAGGGUUCUUGCUAAGCUAGUGCAAGACAGAGCAAAAGAGAACUAACAAGCCAAGCCAAGUNNNNNNNNNNNNNNNNNNNNNNNNNNNNNNNNNNNNNNNNNNNNNNNNNNNNNNNNNNNNNNNNNNNNNNNNNNNNNNNNNNNNNNNNNNNNNNNNNNNNNNNNNNNNNNNNNNNNNNNNNNNNNNNNNNNNNNNNNNNNNNNNNNNNNNNNNNNNNNNNNNNNNNNNNNNNNNNNNNNNNNNNNNNNNNNNNNNNNNNNNNNNNNNNNNNNNNNNNNNNNNNNNNNNNNNNNNNNNNNNNNNNNNNNNNNNNNNNNNNNNNNNNNNNNNNNNNNNNNNNNNNNNNNNNNNNNNNNNNNNNNNNNNNNNNNNNNNNNNNNNNNNNNNNNNNNNNNNNNNNNNNNNNNNNNNNNNNNNNNNNNNNNNNNNNNNNNNNNNNNNNNNNNNNNNNNNNNNNNNNNNNNNNNNNNNNNNNNNNNNNNNNNNNNNNNNNNNNNNNNNNNNNNNNNNNNNNNNNNNNNNNNNNNNNNNNNNGGUAUGGCCGACUAACUUGAGGCAUAGUCUAAAUCCUGCUUGCAUACCUGUCCUUGUUCUGUGUGCGACUUAGGUCUAAGCCCAAGUUCCACACCAUGCUAGCUGGUGGAAUACCCAUAUCCUCGUGUUAAGCCACUGGUAUGCUAAAAUAACGCCAGACUCUGUUUAGCUCCAUUUUGUGUGUUGGUCCUGGCAUUGGGAUGCUGGAUGCUCUAGGACUGUUCCAAGUCACUCCGUGCUCUUGUUCCUUUGCUCUUUGGGCUGUAUGCUCAGAAGUUACUCCGUGGUUCGGUUCCAUCACUCAUUGGCUCCAUACUUAGGAGUUUAGCUUCAUCCUUUCGUUCAAUGGCCCAAGGCCUUGAAAUUUAGAUUCCACACCACUGUCUUUUGGACACAUGGCAAGUGGCAUGUGGCAUGUGACAUGUGGCACAUGGAGGGUUUAGAUUCUGCUUCGUGGUUAUCCUAUGGUAAACCACUAUAGGAUAAAAGGUGAAAACCACGUGCACUAUAAUUACAUUUUCUGAAGGAAAGAAUGAGGCAAAACAAAUGAGAUCCAAAUGUGGUGGCAUGAAGAUAGCCAUAUGGAUGCAAGUUGUCUACCACAACUUGAGUUGUGGUUGGGGUGGUGGGAAGUUAAAAUGUUCCAAUAGGGACAUCAAGUUCAUUUUGCUUUUCUCUUCUCUUUUAUUGGUUGGCUUUUAGUAUUUACCUCUAUCAGCAAAAUCAUGAUGAUGAUUGCAUUGUACUUCAUCUUUUAUUUGUUUAAAGCAUCAGAAUUUAAUUUUGUUGAGGCAAAGCAUUAGGCCAUAGCCAUGGUUUACACCUUAGAGUGCUUUUGCUAUUUUCUACUUGGCACCUAUAUUUUUUGUAUUCAUUUUUAUAUGCUAAUUUUUCUUUUGAAUAAUGUUUUGCAAAAUAUAAGGAUCUAUUUUCUCUAGGAAUUUCAUAUCACCUUUUCUUUGUGACAGCUAACUCCAGUUAAUACUUUGUUGCAACAUUGAACACUCUACAUCUUUGCUAGAUGUAGCAAUAAACUCCUAAACAACUACUGAUGAUACAACAAUAGGCUUUAGAAAUCAAUGCAUGCAACUUUUGCUUGUUGUAAGGAAUAAUUAUACUUGUGGUAGUUAUUUGUGGGAUUAACAACAGUAUAAACCAUUCUUUCUAGUAGUUUCUAUUGGUCUAUUAUAUGCUGCUAGAUGCAUGACUUGCUAAUAGUUCAAUCCUCUAAACAACACUCCCAAACCUCCUUUUUAGCUCAUUACCUCUUUAGGUCCAUUCUACACUGGGAUUUUAUUCCAACAUCUUUGCAUAGGCACUAUUAUUUAUUAUUGGCAGUACUAUAACUCUCAAGAUAGCAAAUCAACAUUCUAUAAUAGAAUUCUUGUAUGAUCACAUCAUAUGCUAAUUUGGUAUUCUUGCAACCUUGAUAUCUAAUUGGGGGGUGCGGAGAUGGCUUUCCUUAGAUAUGUCAUUAAGCAAUUUUACAAUGGAUUAGAAUCUAAUAGCACUUCGUUAGCAGUCAUUGCCAUCAAUAUGCUAAUAAUUAGGUUGAGUUAUCCAAUAAGAUUUUGAAAUCCAUUUUUGUGUUAUUAGAGGCAAAUUGAGGAUAAAAAGACUUUGUAUCCACACUCUUUGCCUGGAUUAAACAAUGUGUGGUCACUCACUUGCGCUCUAAAUUAGAGAGAGACAAUACCAAAAUAUUUCAAAAUUCUAAUUUUUUUAGUAUAUAAUUUUUCUAUAUUUUCCAUUGCUAUAUAUUCCACUUUUAGAAUAUUAUUUAUGAAUAUGCUUUUGAUUUAUAUACACUUUGAAUUAACAUCCUAGAUCAGAACACAUGGUGAUAUUUCAAGGCAAAUAUUGUUGGGAUUGAUCACAAAAACAUAAAUACUCUCUUUCAGUUUGCGUGGAACCUCCAACUAGUGGAGAUAGUUGUGUGACACCUAUAUCUCACUGCCUAAAGCAUCCUUUUAAUGGAAAUUAUUGUGUGGCACUUCCACAUCCUCACUUGGAAUCACUAUAUCACCAAAGAACCUUCACCUCAUUGACUAGAGUAUCCUCUUUAUUGCAUGGAAUCAUUAGCUCACAACCUAGGGGAAUUUUCACCAAAGCCCUUGCAUGAGAUGUUUAAUAUAGCCUUAUUAUAGGAACUAUCCACCUUUGAGUUUGGGGUGUCCAUCUCAUGAAGAUGCUCUUCCUCCACUACCAUGCCAUAUGGGGCCUCUUCCACAAUCACCUUGCACCCAUGUAAAGGGUCUUCCUUUGCCACCUUAUAUUAAUGUAAAAUUAUACUCAACAAUAGCUAUGUAAAGAGAGAAAAUCUAGAAAUAAGCAAAGUAUUUCUAUUAGUAUUCAACACAAAACCUAUAUAUAUAUAUAUAUAUAUAGGUUCUUUUGCAUUCUUGAGAUUUAAUACCACUUCUUUUGCAAUCUCUAUAGUAGCAUAAUAUUUUUUUGCCACUUUUUCACCUUCCUCCAUAUCUACUUCUGCUAUUAGCUCAGGGUUAUAUGGAAGAUGUCUAGUUUCGGCCAUCAAUCUUCUUCCUAAAAAGAAUAGCCAAAAUUGUUAAUAAUCUGGAAUAAGAAAAUCAAAAUUAUUAAAUUAUAUAUAUAGAUCCCACAAGAGCGACCUCAUUCAAUUGCACAUCUUGCCAUAUUCACACAUAUUUUAUGCUAAAGUCAUCCACAAAUAAAGAAAUUUUAGCCUUUAAUACAAAACAAUUUGGUGUAGCAAUGCCUACUUUUCUUAUUUUUCUUUUAUUCAUUUAGAUAGUAGUUGACAAAAUUAGUAAGGCAACAUUUUAGUAGUUUAGUCACCACAUAUAUAGUGUUUUAAAGAAAUAUACAAGUUUUAGGUGCUACUCAAAAAGCUACUUCUUACAUUUUGGAUCACCUAAACAAGGGCAAGGAUGUAAAAGAAUUUAUUUAAAAUAAAAAAUAGUUUUUUUAGGGUUAUAUCCAAUGAGAAAUAGCCACAUAUGAUAAAUGACAAAGUUAAAGGAUGAAUUUGAGUGUUGAGACAGUUAGCAAGGUAGAUUGAUGUGGUAGAAUCAUCAUGCUAGUUAAAGGGGGGAAGGACAUCUAGUAUAGUGGCACAGGGAGCUCAUAAAGAACUUGGACUAGGACUUGAUAACAUGAAGAUAUGGAGUUAAUGGUUUCUUCACAUAUAAAGUAAAGAAUGUGCAAAACAAAUUGAUGGUAAUAAGGAGUUUGAGAGAGAGGAAGUACCUAAGCUAUGGGAAAAAUAGAUCACACUAGAGAUGGAAGUGAGCUAUGUGAUAAACAACAUAGUGGCAUUCGAAAAGUCACCAAUCCAAGACAAAUUUGAAGGUUACAUCUUGGCUUGUGGCAACAAAUGGAUUGCCAAUAGGAUAGUGAUUCCAAGCAAAGGAUGCCCAAAAGUGUUUGAAAUGUGGCAUGUUGAAGAUAGUAGUAUACCUCCUUUGGGAGUGUGAUGUGAUAAAGGAGAUGUGGAGAAUGAUAGCUAAAGUGACUAGGGAACUUGAAAUCAAGCAAAAAUUUAAAAUACGCAAGGGGGAUGUCACUCAAUGGUUCCUAGAGGCAAGGGGGUCAUACAUGGGAUCAACUUGGCAAAGGAUUAGCUAUUGAGGAUGUUUAGGUUGAGUGGGAUGUUGUUGGAGCAAAGAUUGAGACUACAGUCUAGGAAGCCCUUGGAUAGACAAGAUGGGAGAUAUGGUGUGCAUCCAGGAUUUAGGCACUCUGGGAAGCUUAAAACCAAAGGCAUUUUGAGGGAUAGAAAUUUAGCGAUCAUAGCAAACUAGUUGGGGCUCAUGUUAGUAGCUGUCCGUCUCAAGGAAAUGCUACUGUAGGAAUAUAGCAAAAGGAAGGUGCUUGAUGCUUAGCAACAGCAAUAAAUACCCUGCUAUAGAGGGGAAUACAAGGGAGGUAUCAAAUGAAAAUGGAGACCACUAGACACUAUAGUAAAGGCAAGACAAGGUGAUUUAGUACAAGAUAUUUUGCAAAGGAGACAACCACAACAGCCUCGGUUGGAAGGUAGCGACCACUAAUAGAUAGGAUAUAGUGAAAUGUUAUAGUUGAGAGAGUACCUUUUUUGCAACAGUCCCUAAGGAACAUUGAGUAAUGUACAUAUAUGUUGCACCAAUAAAAAAUAACCCAGACCAAUCCAUGUAUAUGUGCCACUAUUGCUAAGAGAUGGCAAUUGUGGUUGUAUUAGAAGCCUAUUGGGUGUUUAGGUCCUUGCAAAUGGCUUAUCAAUGUAAUAGCUAGAUCAUGCUAAUUCUUCCUAAAGGACUCCUAGCUAAUAUAAAAUUGCUUGAAUUUUAUGCUUGAGUGCCUCUAUCUAGACAUCACACCAAUGCUAUGAUGGCCAUUUAACACUAACCAGCCCUAGAAUGCUCAUGGAUGAAGAUGAGCUCUUGCCUUGAGAUAAUGGAUUGACAAUCCUAAUCUCAACACUUCAGAAAGUUUGUUAUCGCAAACUAAUAAAAUAUUCUUAGAUACUCUGAUAUUAUCCAGGAAUCCAAGCAAGAAAUCCUUGAAAGGUAAAUCAUGCCUCCUAAGCAACUCUUUUCUUCCUUGCUUGUCCUUCAAGAGGAUUAUUUCCUUUGUUAUCUCUGUGGGAGAUAGCACUACAGAGAACCCAAAGCUUUUGGGUUUUUAAUGGAGUGAAUGUUGCUCAUGCUACAUGAUAGUGUGGUGCACAUAUUAGAAGCUAAAAGUUAACAAGGAAAAUCUAACUUUGAGAAGGACCAAAUAAAUAUUUUUCUCCAUUUUGAGGUCAUUGUCUUUUUGGAAAUUUAGCAACAUUGGAUGGUUGAGAGUAAAUGUGGGAAAGAAUUUGAAUUUUUAAAUUAAUUUUUUAUCAAAAUAUUUAGUAUAAGCUUGUGAAGGAAGAGUGACUUAUUUUUGGCUAAUUGGGUUAAUUAUGUGAUGCUAAGUAAGUUUGAAAUCUAGUUCAUCAAUAACCUCCUCAAGAAAUUUCACAGUCCAUUUUCCCCUUCACUUUUAAGCUUUUCUUUCCUAUUUUUUCCUUUGUUUUGUCUUGUUUUUGCCAUUCUUGCAAUAGUUAUCAACUCUUGGAUGAGUAUGGAACAGUCGAUAUUUCACCCUUGCUAUACAACUGAGGAAAAUAUUUUAUCUUCCUCUAGGAAUCCAUGACGAACCUAAUGUGACACAAAAUGGUUUUCCUUGAUAUUGGAUUUUUAGGGCUUACAAAAUCUUCUAUAUUUUAAAUAUAGCAUAUUCGAUGUGUUCUCUCGAAGUUGAGUGCAGCAUCGAGAAAGAAGCUGGCUUCCAAGGUUUCACUUCUUUUGCAACAAGAGGGCAAAAACAGGCUAAUGUUGACAAUUGGCGUAUUGUUGGGUGGGAGUCCUUGCACGCUGUCCUUGAAUGCAUCCUGUGAAAGUUACCAACAAGACCACAAUUGCUACACAAGAUCUCCUCAGUUGGAAACAAGCAAAUAGGAGCUAUAUAUCUUGAAAACCAAGAAUUAACUGAAUUUUCUAUGUUGAUGUGGUUUUGUAUACUUGACAAGAUAAAGUUUUGAAGGUGUCUUACUUAAACAAGCAGGAGAUACGUCAGGAGAGGAAGAAAACGAAACACUUGCAUUGUAGAAGAUUUCCACACGAAGACGUAUGUCCAAGCACACAGUUGCAUUUUCAGCAUGUUCAUCUAGCAGAAACCAUGUCCAAAAUUCAACCUGUAUUCCAUCCUCUAAGUGAUCAGAGUUUGUGGUGGUGGUGUGUCACCAUUUACGGAAACAUUGUAGUAAAUAUCAUUGCCGAGCAGUGCUUCAGUUCCAUUGCUCGAUACUUGAGUAAGGUUAGAGUUGAGGUUUGUACGGCUUGCACAAGAGAGGUGUAGGAAUCUAGUGUGAAAUAGCUGAAUACAAACAUUAAAUCAAUGAUCAUUCCUCCAGUUCCAUCUGCAAGAAUUCCUUGCACCACGUGCCAUUGAUACUUAUGGAUCCCAAGCCGAUGUAAUACAACACAGUGGAAUUUGGAUUUACUAUGAUUUCUUAUAGUUGCUGAGCACAAUUUUGCCACUAAACGUAUCAGAUGGAACAAAAUAGAUAAACUUGCUUUUCGUAUCCAAACUAUGUACCACUCUCAUUGAGCCACACUAAAAGGAUAAGUCAGUUAAUCUGAGGCAUGGGAUUUUGAGAGGCUCUAUAAUGCAUUUUAGGACAAAGAGAUUGAAGAAUGCAAAGAGCUUCUCUCUGCAAAAGUCUAUUGAUUGGCUCUUUGUGGAUGAUGCUGCUGCUGAAGUAUCACAAUUAUCGAUUGGCUCCAAGUAUGCUUUUCUGAUUAUGAUUAUUGGACAGUUUUCGUGAGGGAAAUAAUGCCAGAAUCAGAGUGAGCAGUGUUACAGCAUAAACAGUUAGAGUGUUUACAUGACUUUCUUUAUUGUCUAACUUUUUAGCUUCUCCAAUGCUUGUUUUACAUUUUCAACACUUGCAAUUUUCUUAAGAAGAUUGUUUAUCGUCUUCAAUUCAUAAUACUUAUAACCUUUUUUGUUUUUGAAUGUGUGGAUAACAAUUCCAUUGUUGGGCUGCAAGCAAAAAGACUUUGGCUUGUUGCCCACGCCCUAAUCUCAAGAGAUCUUUCACAACCUUUUUCCCUCUAACUUCCUUGGUAAGCACAAAUCUUUGUAGACAAUGGGCAAAGAGAUUCCUAGCUAGGUCAAGCUUGUCCAAAAUCUUGUCCACAUACAGCUUCAUUUCUUGAGUAAAAACCACAAUCUCAUAUAUCUCACUCAUCUCUUUUAGAAAAGUCAUCUAUGCCUAGCCUCUUUGUUAUAAGGUAAUGCUCUAGUGGAAUAAUUUUCCCAUUGAAGAGCUUGAAGGAUGUUGUGGCCUUUGUCUCAUCUAUGUCCAACACAAGCAUGGGUUUCUUUUCCAAAGCUAGUUGUAACAGCAAAGAAUUGUGACAAUUUCACCUUUUUGUUCUUUUUGGUGGUGAUGUCAAGUGUUACAAAACUCUACUCCUUAUAUUCCCACAGCCUCUUUAUACUUAUGAAGAAAGAUAGAAAAAAUGCAAGCCCUAGUUUAAUUGCAAUGAAUUUUUAUAAAUCAAGUUAAUACACUUCCAUAAUUUUGGCGACCCCAACACCAAGGGUCUCUAGGUAACUCGAGCUCCACACUUGGGAUCCUUGUGGAUCUUUUGGCAAACAGCCAACAGUGAGACCCCCCAAGCAACACUCUCAAACUCAAAGGUGCUAUGGAUGAGUUUUUUAGCCUUGUCUAGCUCUCUGGCCUUUGCAAAUGCGUCAACAAGCCCACAGUAGCAUUGUCCCAUGGGCUCAACUCCAUAGCCCUAAAUCAUUUGACUAGAAGUAGUCCCAAAAGAUCUUCACCAAACCCAAGUGGUAGCAUGCCGCAAGAACACUCAUAAAGAUUAUGUGAUCAGGCAUCAUGCUCUCCUGGAUAGUCCUAUGGAAGGUUUCCAAGGCCUCAGUUACAUGCCUGGUGGAAGCAUACAUGGCCACCACUGCAGUCCAUGAGACCAAGUUUCACUCUGGUAUUCUCUCAAACCAAACUCAAGCUUCCAAGAGGAGUCCCUUGUGAGUGAAGCCUGCCACCAUUGCCAUCCAGGCAAUCACAUUGCACUCCUCGAUCACCUGGAAGAGGCUUAUUGCUUCUUGGAGGUGGCCGUUCCAGAGAUAGGCGAAGAGGAGCACUUUGCUCACUGUCUUGCUAUCAUAAGGCAUCUGACAGAACAUAAACUUUCAAGAUGGUUUCUAGAGGCAAGCAUAUGGAUCAUUGUCGUCCAAGAGAUGUCGUCGCAGUGAGCCAUCUUUUGGAAAGAAUGUAGUGCCUCGUCAAAAUGCCCAUUCGCGGCAUAUGCGCAAAACAUGGAGUUCCAAGCCACCAUGUCUUUGUUUGGAGCGUCUCAGACAAAACUUUAGCCUCUUCUACGGAGUCGUUACAUGCGUAGUGUCAAUCAUAGCCGUAACUGCCACCUCAUUAAGAUCCGGGGCAUCAUUAAAGAGAAUCUUUGUUUUCUCCAUAUGCCCAGGCCUAUGAUCAUGGCCUUGUGGGCAUUCUGUCAAUCGUUUCUAGCACCGCCAUGAUCGUGGCUUAUGCCCAUAGCGGGCAUCUCUCACGCGCGCGUGAGGUGUUCGAUAAUCUGCCCCAAAAGGACGUAGUGGUGUGGACGGACAUGAUACAAGGCCAUUGCCACAACCAGGGGCUGGAUGAAGCUAAAGAUCUCUUUGGGUUUGCUCCGGCAUGGAGUGGAAUACCGCCUCCGCCUCGCCAAGAUUGCCACUCUGCGAGUACAUCUCGAUCAUCCGGUUCCAGGUGAUGGAAUUCUUUGGCAGGGAUGCGAUCGAAGUGCUGCUUGGCGCGCUGCACGUCCCCAGCCGCGGCAUAUGCCGAGAUCAUGGCGUUGCUGGACACAAUCUCCUGCCGCGGCAUGCUUUCCAGGACCGAUCACGCCUGCUCCAGGUCAUGGUUGGGAUUGUAGGCCUGGAGGAUGAGAUUCCAAGAGAAGAGAUUGCGAUCCGAGGUAGAAUGGAAGACCGAUCGCGCUUCCUCCAGGCAGCCGCAGCGGCCAUACAUCUGGACGAGGAGAUUUCGCACGAAGACGCUGUUAUUGUGGUCGCUGUGAAGGAUCUGGGCGUGGGGCGGCCAUCGCUGGGAUUGUCGCAAGAUCUGACAAGGGCGGCCAGCUCUUGGACGCGCAUCACAUCAUGGCCGUUGGAUGAUGGGGACGGCCGAGGUUUUAGUCGUGGCAGGUUCUAGCUACCAGCCACGAAGUUUUCAUGGCACGCGGCGAGAACUCAUCCCCCAUCGUCCAGCCGCACUCCAAAUGCCGGAGGCAAUCGCAAUCGGGGGCGCGCGUCAACGACACAAUUAAUUUCCAUCUUUUCUUGUGGCUUGGAUGGAUUUCUCUUGCUGCGAGUUCAGCAAGUUGUCCGAUGAAUGACUUGUUUGUCUUUGCAAAUCCCACCAGGCCUGAUGUAUUGAGAAUUCAAAGAAGCUAUAUAUCUCGAGUUUACAAAUCAAUCCAGACUGAAUUUUCUAUGUUGACGCGGUUUGUAUAGUAAACUUGACAAGACAAAGUUUUGAAGGUGACGUGAGGAGAGGAAGAAAAGAAAACGCUUGAGUUGUAGAAGAUUUCCACACGAAGACGUAUGUAAAACCAGAAGAAGUGUCAAGGUUCAUGCUGACAUUGCAUCCUGCUGUUCCAAAUCCAAUCUCCUGCUUUUCCAGAUCAAACUCCACUGCCACAUCUAGCUGCUGGUAGGUUCCUAUAACAUUCAGUGAGAACCCCACCUUCUCUGAGUCUCCAACAGCCAAGCACACGGUAGCAUUUUCAGCAUCAUCAUCUAGCAGAAACCAUGUCCGAAAUUCAACCUAUGUGCCAUUCUCAAAGUGAUAAGUCAGGGUUUGUGGUGGUGGUGUAUCACCAUUUACAGAAACAUUAUAGCAAAUAUCAUUGCCGAGCAGUGCUGCAGUUUCGUUGCUCGAUACUUUAGUAAGGUUGGAAUUGAGGUUUUGUAUGGCUUGCACAAGAGGGGUGUAGGAAUCUGGUGUGAAAUAACUGAAUGCAAAGGUUGAAUCAAUGAUCGUUCCUCCAGUUCCAUCUGCAAGAAUGCCUUGCACCGGAAAAGUCAACGUAUCGGUGAUACU
rnacentral:lncRNA from 1 species